UGGAUACAUAUAUAUCCUUAACAUACUCAAGCGGCUCCCAUUAUUGGUAUCAAACCAAUACCGAUUCAUACAAGCUAAAUCUUCUAAUCGAUAAUUAGGCCAAAAAAAGAACUUGAAUUUAAUUAAUUCAUUUUUUUUUAUGUCAAAAUCUUUAUUUUCAUCCAAAAAUUGACUCCAUUUUUUUAUCUUGUUCUCGUUGUAAACUAAUGUGUUUCUAUCCACACCAGUGUUAUUCUUUAAAUUCAAAUUAAAAGAAAUGAGAAUUCUUAAUUCUCUACGGCGUCUAGACGAUAAAAUUUUUUCAGGAACAAGCAAAUCAGAAUUCUUUUUGUCUAUAUUUUUAGCAACAUUUUCUUGUUUUUGGUAUCUUUGAUUACUUUGGUACUUACUUUUAUGAACCAAUGAAAUACUUAUGAUUUGAUACAUAAAAAACUGUCCGUCAUUUUUUAGAGAUAGGCGGGCAGGUUCCAGAAUUAAUAUUCCUGUUUUCAUUAAUUGUGUAAGAUUUAAAUUCCUACUCAUUAUACCCAGAUCCAUUUCUUUCCUUUGAAUAUAGGAUAUAGUAAUUUUUCUGACAUUUAUCAGGCUAAGUAGUAGACCAUAUAUCUGGAUAUUAUUCAUUAUUUUUUGAUUCAAUUGAUUGACACGUCCAGCCCAUCUUAAUUGCAAAGGAAAAUCUCCUUUAAGGAAUAUUUUUAGUUUUUCGGUGGAUUCUAAAAAGUAUUCUUCAAUAUUGUUUUGAUUAUUUAAUUCAAAAUAUUGUUUUGAAUUUGAUGGUCUAAAUUUGAAAAAAUCCUCUUCUUGCUUCAAAAAAUCCUCUUCUUGCUUCAAAAAAUCCUCUUCUUGCUUCAAAAAAUCCUCUUCUUGCUUCAAAAAAUCCUCUUCUUGCUUCAAAAAAUACUCUUCUUGCUUCAAAAAAUACUCUUCUUGCUUNGGUCUCUUUGGGGAUAAACACCAAUCAUAAGGUCUGAGACGACCCAUAAAGCAAUUGAUCAUAUCACGAUCUAUUUUAUAAGCCUACUUGGGUAUUGAGUAUUUAUUUAUAAGAACUUAAUUUUUUGCACUCGAUAGUUUCAACUCGAGAAAAAAGAAUCCAGUAAAAUUUUUAUUUUACUUACAUAAAACCAUUCAUAUAUCGUAUAUGUUCAUAUAUCGUAUAUGCGGGUGUCUAGAUAACAUAUAUUUUAUAUGGAUUCAUUUGUUUCUUUUGAUUCUUGCUCGAGCCGGAUGAUGAAAAAUUAUCAUGUCCGGUUCCUCCGGGGGAUGGAUCUAUAAGAAUUCGCCUAUCCCAAUAACAAAAAAACCUGACUUGAAUGAUCCUGUAUUAAGAGCGAAAUUGGCUAAAGGUAUGGGUCAUAAUUAUUACGGGGAGCCCGCAUGGCCCAAUGAUCUUUUAUAUAUUUUUCCGGUAGUAAUUCUAGGUACUAUUGCAUGUAACGUAGGGUUAGCGGUUCUAGAACCAUCAAUGAUUGGUGAACCGGCAGAUCCAUUUGCAACUCCUUUGGAAAUAUUACCCGAAUGGUAUUUCUUUCCCGUAUUUCAAAUACUUCGUACAGUACCCAAUAAAUUAUUGGGUGUUCUUUUAAUGGUUUCAGUACCUGCGGGAUUAUUAACAGUACCUUUUUUAGAGAAUGUUAAUAAAUUCCAAAAUCCAUUUCGUCGUCCAGUAGCGACAACCGUAUUUUUGAUUGGUACCGCAGUGGCCCUUUGGUUGGGUAUUGGUGCAACAUUACCUAUUGAUAAAUCCCUAACUUUAGGUCUUUUUUAAAUUGAUUCAAUUGUGAAAUAAAAUAUCACGACGUAUGUAUCUAGGGAACAGUCGCUUCAAAGUGAAUUCUCCCUAGAUACAUCUAUUCAAUUAAAUUAUGAAUCUAUGCCAAUUCCGAAUAUAUGAAUUGUCCUAAAGAUUCAAAACCUAUUUUCGGCCUUUUUCUAAAAAAAAAGAUGAAAAAAAAAUCCAAUGAAUUUAAAACUUAUUUUUCGGUAAAUCAAUUACGAAAUUUUUUUCUAGAAUGCCUAAAAUUUGUUUGACAUCUUCUAUGCGAAAAUGUUCCAUUUUCAUAAGAUCUUCUUGACUGUUAUUCAAAAGGUCCAACAAUGUAUAUAUAUUGUAUUUGUCAAGUCCGCCUGGUAGACGAAAGGAAGUUGAUUAUGGAACGUCUAAUUAGGCGUUGGGUCGAUGCCCGAGUGGUUAAUGGGGACGGACUGUAAAUUCGUUGACAAUAUGUCUACGCUGGUUCAAAUCCAGCUCGGCCCAAAAAUUCGCCAAUAUACUAUCAAAUGGUAGAACCCUCUUGUUCUUAAGAAAUACCUGAUAAGAGAGAAUAAAAAAGAAGCCAAAUUUUCUGUUAGAUCUCUUCUUAUUUCCCUGGGAUUGUAGUUCAAUAGGCAAGAGCACCGCCCUGGUAAGGCGGACGUUGCGGGUUCGAGCCCCGUCAGUCCUCUUUCUCUGCAUUUCCAAUAUUUGCAGCAAUUAUAUUUCUCUGUACCGGACACACCCUAAAGGUAUAACUACGGACUUAUCCCCUAGUCACAUCCUCAACUGGUAAACAUGGAAAGUGUUGUUGAUCUGACGAAGCUCCUCUAGAAGAUCCAAACUUAGGAAACCUUGCCAACCCGAUCAAUAACUCUAAAGGGUCUAAUAUAUUUAUGACCCAACUUGCCCCAUUUUUGGAACCGAAUGACACCUUUCUAAGGUGACACCUUUAGAAGAAAGAAAUCCCCAACUUGGAACUAAAGAUUAGACCAACUUCAAUCUGCAUAGCUCUUUUGCAGUUUGUUGUUUCUCACAUACUUGUUGGAUAAAUUUGGUAGUCUUGAUCACUCCAUUAGUACUUGCCAUAAACCUCUAACCAACUUCCCCCCAACAAAUCGGGGUUCAACAUAUAGUCCAACUAUAGUCUUUCAUACAAACAGAAAUCAUGUACACGAACACAUACACACACACACACACACACAUAUAUAUAUAUAUAUAUAUAUAUAUAUAUAUAUAUUCACACAUAAUAUAGUAAUAAUAAUCAACUAAUGCUAGAAGUUAUAGUCUCACAUGUCUCAGAUGAAAAACAGCUAGCGCGGCCCACUUAAAACCAUCCAAUACAGAGGUCUAACAUCAGUCACUAACUCAUACCGAAAAUUGUUUGACUAAAAGAUAAACAUUUCAAUGAUUAACAUGUCGCGACCCGAAUCAUGGUCGCACCGUGAACACUAGGUGAUAAAAUAGUUGCGACCCAGGUUCAAAACACUCGUCGUGACACUUCUUUUACACGUCACGCUUUUCAAGGAAAAAUCAACAUUCUAUUAAGCACUUACUCCCUUAAGACCAACACUUAUACUCAUAGAUCUGAAUUAAACAAUGGUCUUAAUGGCCAAAACCUUAUGCAUGUAUUAAAGAGAGUCAUGUCAUGUACCAAAAUAAACCCAAGAAUAUUCACAAACUAUCCAAAGAUAUGUAUAAUGUUUUGGAGUUCUCUAAAAUCUAAGAACAUCAAGAAAAGGAACAUUACAUGGCUAAAAAAAUAUCCAGCCCAUUAAUUUAUACACAAAACAACAAAAAACAGGAAACUUUAAUACAUACAAAUCUUACAAUGGGUCAAUAAGGUGGAAUCUUCUGCUGGAAUGAGCUUCACAAUGCACCAAAUUCGCCCUUCUUCACCAAAAUCACUCAAAAAGAUCAAGGAAACAAAGAGAAAGUUAUAAGAUGUUAGGGUUUAAUUUUUAUGGUGGAGACUGAGAAUAAGAGAGAACCAAAAUGUUAGCAUCCACUAUAUUGGGUUCAAAAAAACAAGAUCUAGGGUUUUGGGAUGAUGAAGCCACGCGUUGUAACCCACCGUUGGUCGCGUCGCGACUUAAUGACGUGUUAAGUAUAGCGAAGACCAAGGCACACAUGGCAAAACCCAGGAACCCAUAAUUCCUUGACUUCAAAACAUACAACUUGAUAAACUAAAUCAUACCUGUAACUAGUGUUUCAAUAGUCAAAAUAAGUCAAUGAUCGUGAAUCGCUAACACGUAAACAUCAAUGUAAUAGGCUUGAUGUAUAAUAUUUAAUUAUUUAUAUUAAAAUACAAUAUUAUAGUUGAAAUACAUGAGAAAUAUCAAUUAAGUCAUCAAAUUGUAAAAAGUUGGAUAAAAAACACUCAUCGUAAUAUAUAAAAAGUAAUUUAAUACAUGUAUUUGAAAUAUAUAUAUAUAUAUAUAUAUAUAUAUAUAUAUAUAUAUAUAUAUACAUAUAUAUAUGUGAUAUCUCUUGAUUCAAUUCAGAGGUCUUACCAUCCUCUCUCUUUCUUGAUCUUAUUAGAUCAAGAUGCCUCCGAGAAAGAGACCCAACUCCAAGACCAACAACCCUCCGCCACCACCUCCUCCUGAAAUUGACCCNAGCUGGAGUUGAGGUGUGUGCGAUGCCAUCAUCCCGAGCUCUUCCCUUUACUUGCGGAAGUACCUGAAACCAAAACUGAAACUGUAAGCACAAAGCUUAGUGAGCUCCCCCAAACUACCUCAAACCAAACAAACAUAUAAACAACUACUGGGCCCCCGUUCCUGCUGGAAGGAAACUCACCUUGUAGCCUAGCUGCUGAAAGACUGCUCCGGAAUCUGUCUGCUGCGGCUCCGGCUUCACCCCGGCUACAAUUUUCAUAAGUACCAUCAAUCAAAUACUGAUAAUAAUACUGAGGGUAAAAAGACUAUCUUACCCUUGGUCAAGGUCAACCUAUCGGUCAAAGUCAACAUUCAGUUCACCUGACUCGUCAAUUUGGGUCACCAACUCGUCGAGUCCUUACUCUCACUUUCUUGCUUCUGCCCGUUACUACUCGUCGAGUUUGGCAUAGACUCGCCGAGUUGUAUGAACAACUGAUCGAUUUCUCCUUUAACAUAUGAACACUCUGAAUGUGACUCGCCGAGUUGUAUGAAUAACUCGUCGAGUCUGUUCUUGAGGCAUGAAGAUUGCCUUGGACUCGCCGAGUCAGGGCAUUGACUCGCUAACUUCUUCCAUGAAUGAGUCUAACCUCCAGCUCGCUGAGUCCAUCUCUCACUCACUGGUUCCACUCGGCAUAACUCGAAAAGGUGAAAACAGGGGACUCGCGACUCGACUCGCCGAUUCUGAAGAACGACUCGCCAAUUCGUAUACAUGCAAUCACUAUAUACUCGAUUCUGCUUGAAACCAGUUCAUUCCAUUCAUAGAUCUGGGUUCUUAGGGCUUGAUUAACAUGUAAAGUUUCCAACUUGGGGUGUUAAAACUCUCCCCCACUUGACUCAGACUUCGUCCUCGAAGUUUGCUGCCGCUGAAUCUGGAAACAACUUUAGGUAAUACUCCCGCAUCUCCUCCUCGGACUCCCACAUCCACUCUGAACCCUUCCGGUGCUGCCACUUCACCUUCACUAACUGAAUUACCUUGUUUCUCAAGGUUUUUACCUACCGAUCUAAGAUCGCAACUGGUCUCUCGACAUAAUUCAGGCUACUAUCAACCUGAAUAUCCUCCAUGGGUACAACUGCCGACUCGUCCACCAAACACUUCCUCAACUAAGAAACAUGGAAAGUGUUGUGGAUCUGGCUAAGCUCUGACGGAAGAUCUAAUCGGUAGGCUUCCCGAUCCACCCGGGCCAAGACCCUAAAAGGACCAAUGAACCUAGGGCCCAACUUGCCCCUCUUUCGGAAUCUGAUGACACCCUUCCAGGAUGAUACCUUCAGGAGGACCAUGUCACCCACCUGAAACUCCAAGUCUGAAUGCCUCCUGUCGGCGUAACUCUUCAUCCGACUUUGCGCAGUCUGCAGUCUACUACGAACCUGCUGGAUCAACUCCGUCGUCUUUAGCACCACUUUGGUGCUCCUAAUGACACGCUGACUGACCUCGCCCUAGCAGAUCGGGGUCCUGCACUUCCUCCCGUAUAACAUCUCGAAAGGAGGGCGGUCAAUACUCGUAUGGUAUUUGUUGUUAUACGAAAAUUCCGCUAACAGAAGAUACGUAUCCCAACUGCCACCGAAAUCUAGAACACAUGCCCGGAGCAUGUCCUCGAGAGUCUGGAUCGUCCUCUCGCUCUGCCCGUCCGUCUGUGGGUGGAAAGCGGUGUUGAAAUGGAGACGAGUCCCCAUCUUGUCGUGAAACCACUUGCAGAGUCUGGAAGUAAAAUGGACGUCUCGGUCUGACACCACCGAGACAAACACUCCAUGCCGUGCCACCACCUCUCACACAUAAAUAUCGGCUAGCUUCUCCGCCGAUAUACUCUCCUGAAUCGGUAUAAAAUAAGCACUCUUCGUCAACCGAUCCACAACGAACCAAAUCGAAUCCACUCCGCGUGCAGUCCUGGGAAGCUUUGUGAUGAAAUCCAUGGUGAUGUCUUCCCAUUUCCAAACUGGAAUGUAUAACGGUUGCAUCUUGCCGUGAGGCCUUUGGUGUUCUGUCUUGACCUUCCUGCAGGUCAGGCACCUCUCCACAUACUAGGCGACAUCCUGCUUCAUGCAGGGCCACCAAUAAUAGGGUCGAAGAUCUCUAUACAUCUUCGUCGCCUAUGGAUGGAUAGAAAAUCGAGACUUGUGGGCCUCAUCCAUCAGCACCUGCCGUACCCCUCCCCAAUACGACACCCAAACUCUCCCAUGAAGGUUCAACAAUCCUCGACUGUCAUAGUCGAAGGAAGCUACUUGGCCCAUGAUCCCCUCACACUUCUGCCUCUCCUCCUUGAGGCCCUCAACCUGUGCCUCUCUGAUCCGCUCCAAUAAUGGAGUAAUCACUGUUAUUCUCAGACAUACAUCCCUAAUCGAGGCUGCUGCCGCCUUGCGGCUUAAGGCGUCGGCCACCAAAUUGGCCUUCCCUGGGUGAUAAAGGAUCUCACAAUCGUAAUCCUUCAAUACAUCUAACCAUCGCCUCUGCCUCAUGUUCAGAUUCAGCUGAUCCAUGAGGUACCUCAAACUCUUGUGAUCCGUGUAAAUGGUACAACGGACCCCAUAAAGGUAAUGUCUCCAAAUCUUGAGGGCAAACACCAUUGCCCCCCAACUCUAAAUCAUGUGUAGGAUAGUUAGACUCGUGAGUCUUCAACUGUCUUGAGGCGUAAGCUAUCACACGGCCUCGCUGCAUCAACACUGCUCCCAUACCUGUGAUCGAAGCAUCACAGUAGACCACAAAAUCCUCUACUUCCUCUGGCAGGGCAAGAAUCGGUGCCUCGCACAAUUUUUGUCUAAGGGUCUCGAAUGCUGCCUGCUGCUCAGGCCCCCAGUGAAACACCACUGACUUCCUAGUCAGUCGGGUGAGCGGUACAGCUAUCUUGGAGAAAUCCUGGAUGAAUCUCCUGUAGUACCCUGCCAAACCUAGGAAGCUCUGAAUCUCAGAUGGAGACUUCGGGACCUCCCACUGCAUUACGGCCUCUAUCAUGGCCGGAUCUACCAGAAUACCCUUCUGGUUGACGAGGUAACCAAGGAAUUGCACCUCGCGCAACUAGACCUCGCAUUUGGAGAUCUUCGCAAAAAGUCUCUUCCUCCUCAAGAUCUCUAGCGCCUCCCUCAGGUGCUCCUCGUGCUCCUCCUGGGUCUUGGAAUAAACCAAGAUAUCAUCAAUGAACACUAUCACAGACCGAUCUAGCAUCGGUCUGCACACGCGAUUCAUGAGAUCCAUAAAUGCAGUUGGAGUGUUGGUGAGCCCAAACGGCAUCACCACAAACUCAUAAUGACCAUAACGGGUCCUGAAAGUAGUCUUCUGCACAUCCUCAUCCCUGACUCGCAUCUAAUGAUACCCGGAGCCUAAAUCGAUCUUGGAAAACCAAGACGCUCACUGAAGUUGAUCAAACAAAUCAUCUAUCCUCGGAAGUGGGUAAUGCUUCUUCACCGUUACCUUGUUCAACUCCCGGUAAUCUAUACACAUACGAUGUGACCCGUCCUUUUUCACAAACAAAAUCGGUGCUCCCCAGGGCGAACUGCUCGACCUGAUAAAACCCUUGUCUAGCAGCUCUUGCAGCUACGUAGACAACUCCUGCAUCUCUGGGGGAGCCAAUCGAUACGGUGCCUUGGCUAUCGGAGCCGCACCAAGGAUCAGGUCAAUCCUGAACUCGACCUGCCCCUUGGGAGGUAUUCCAGGCAAAUCCUCUGAAAAUACAUCCGGGUAGUCUCGCACAAUCGGAACAUCAUCAACCGAUAACUUUACCUUCUGCUGGGCAUCUAUAUCAUAGGCAAUAUAACCGGCCCAACCCUGCUGGAGGUAGCGCCUCGCUCUCGCUGCUGAACACAUAACUAGUCCGCGCUGUGGCUUCUCGCCCUGAAUCACUAACUCUCCCCCAGUGGGAGUGCGAACCCUCACCAACUGUAGCUCACAAUCUAUCACCACCCCAUUGGGGCUCAGCCAAUCCAUGCCUACUAUAACCUUAUUCCCUCGCAGGGGAAUAGGGACCAAGUCCUCCAGAAACUGCUCAUCGAAUAACUGCAGCGAACAUCCUCUAUGUACCCUUGCAACCCUAAUGGUCCUAUCAGCUGCUAUCUCAAACUCAAGUGGAUAAUCUAGCUCCCUUGGAGCUCUACUAAACCUCUUGCUAAGCGCAAGAGAGAUGAAUGAUCGGGUAGCCCCCAAAUCAAACAGUAUUGUAGCCGAAAUGUCGUUCACUGAGAACGACCCCGUCACCACAUCAGGAGUCGCUCGCGCCUCCUCUUCCGUCAGCUGAAAAGACCUACUCUUCGCCACCGGCGUCUUAGCUCGACCCUGACGGCCAUCCGCAAUCCUCAAGGUAGCAGGAGCAGGUGCUGACACCUUCCCUGCAGCGGCUAAACUCGGACACUAGGACUUUUUAUGUCCCCUCUGAUUGCACUGAAAGCAAAUCAGAUCUGAUGCCGCAACGAAAGUAGUAGUGGUUGUACAAUCUCUGCUCAUAUGCCCAAUCCGGCCGCACUUAUAGCAGCCGGCACUCCCUACCUUGCACGCCCCAUCGUGCACUCUCCCACACUUGCCACACCGACCGUGGCUCUGCUGACUCCUAGCUCUGUGAUCUGAACCCUUGGGCUUUUUGCCCGAACUCCCUGAACCUGGAGCCGCCUCCAGCUUCCUCUUUCUCUCCAUCUCAAGGUCAAUCUCUCUCUUUCGAGCCCUAGCAAUCAUGUCAUCCAGCAUUUUACAGCUAGAUCGGCUCACAAACUAGCGGAUAUCACUCCGCAACAUCUCAUGAUACCGAGCCUUCUUCAUUUCCUCAUCAGCUGCGUACUGAGGAACGAGAAGUGCUCUCUCCCUGAACUUGGCGGUGAUCUCCGCCACUGUCUCUGUCGUCUGGGUGAGGUCCUGAAACUCCCUGGCCAACUACUGCACCUCGAUAACUGGUGUAAACUCAGCCCUGAACCUGGCAGUAAAGUCAGCCCAGGUCAUAGCAUCCAAAGAUGCGUCAUCUCCAAUGGCAUGUCUGACCUCCUCCCACCAAUCCCAUGCCCUGUCCUUCAGAAGACAGGACGCCAAUCUGACCUUGUCCCCCUCGGGACAUCUGCUCGUGCGGAAAGCGUUGGCCACAUCCGCCAACCAUCUAGUACUCGCUAUGAGGUUCCGCGCCCCGUGGUAAUCUGGAGCUCCACAUGCACGGAACUCCAUGAAGGUAAGCAUGCGUGGCCCCAUCAUGGCCUCUACCUCAGCACGGAAAGUGCUCAAUCUCUCGUCCAUCAACUCUAAGAUACCCUCCUUGAUCGAACCAAAGAUCACAUGAGUCUGCUUAAGUAUGGUGCGAGUAAUCUCUCAAGAGAGAAACUCUCUAGUCUGCUCAUCCAACUGCCCGACCUCUGGGCCUGAUCCUGAUCCCCCUCCGGCAUCUGAACUGCCGACUGCUGGCCUAGGGCGUAGUACCACCAUUCUGAAAACACAUCAUAAUAAAAUUCAGAAACAUAGAUAUAUCUCGAGGGAUCACUACUACCACAAGUUUCCUGGUCUCAUCUCAGCUUUCCUUGAUUCGAGUACGAAUCCUCUACUUUCAGUAGUACGGGCCCAUACCACCUUCCACAUCUAUCCGUACUUUCCUCAAGUAUCGCCUUGACUCCACCAAGUCACUACUACUGCUACUAAUCUCUGCUACUCCCAUCCUAGGCUUGUCCUAGGGAAAUCUCUGACUCUACCCAAACUAGUCCUCAGCUGCUGAAAGGCCCCCUUGUAAUGCCAAUUAGCCAUCACCUGAAUACCAUCACAUGUGGCGAGGCUCAGAUAAUCCUUCGAGUAAAAGGCCCGUCCCCACAACAGUUUAACUCAUACAAGAGCUGUGCAAUAGGGCCAGAUCUAGGACUCUGAGAUUAUUCAACCCUGUUCACAUGUGAUGUGACGUAUUCACCUAAUGGCUAACUCACAUCACUCAGAGCCCCACAAAGCAUAUAGUAAGAAGCAUUCAGACACAGGAAACUACUCAAGUAAUUCUAUCCUCAUUACAAGGAACUAUACUGGCAUACAAUGCUAAGCUCAUACUAUCAGGCAUAACCUAAUCAGGCUAUCCUACUGCUGUCUACUCAAAACUAGCAUGCAAUUUUCAUAAAGCUGAAACACAUAAAGCAGGCACAUAAGGCAUCCUCCUAGAUCCUUAGUCCUAUACUAGCAUGCUGUUCUACUGAAACUGAAACAAAUAAUCAUAACAAAAACUUGUAUGGGUAAUUUGGGAGUACUUACUUGAGCUCGGCUUAUCGCAUGCACCACACCCUUUUCCUCUCCUCAAAACUUUUUCUCUUUUUAGGUUUUUCUUUUUCAAAAUAUUUUUGAAAAUACUUUUGAAAAUCUUUCAACCAUUUCCUUAGUUUGAGUCCAGUCACACCCAAGAGUGUGCCUGAAUCCCUCAAACCAAGGCUCUGAUGCCAACUUGAAACAUCCCAAAAACACAACCCAAAAAUUUUUGUUCUUACAUAUAAUAAAAGUCAUAACACUAAAGGUCAUAUAAUAAAAACCAUACGUCGGGUAUCCCAAAAGACAUAAUAAAAUGUCAUAUCAAAAACUGUAUCAAAUCAUGUCUAAGUAUCUGAACAGAACUCCCAUGAAUAAAGUUGAAGCUGUGGUGUGUGCGAUGCCAUCAUCCCGAGCUCUUCCCUUUAUUUGCGGAAGUACCUGAAACCAAAACUGAAACUGUAAGCAAAAAGCUUAGUGAGCUCCCCCAAACUACCUCAUACCAAACAAACAUAUAAACAACUACUGGGCCCCCGCCCACUGUAUCGGACCGAAGCCCAGAAACUGCAUCGGACCGAAGUCCGAAACUAACCAGGUCCCUGCCCUCUGCAUCGGACCGAAAUCCGGAACUAACUGCCUCAGACCGAAGUCUGGAACGAACUGCAUCGGACCGAAGUCCGGAACUAACUAUAUCAGGCCUAAGCCCAGAACUGACUGCAUCAGGCCUAAGCCCGGAACUGACUGCAUCGGACCGAAGUCCAGAACUACUGAACAUAACAUAGCAUACACAUUUCAACUAGCAUAACAACAUAGACUACAUACUGAGUCGGGCCAUACCCGAAACACAUAACACACAAAACCUGUCUGAGCCACGAAGGCAUCAAACAUUCUAACUACUGCAUCGGACCGAAGUCUGGAAACUACUACUAAUUAGACGGGCCGGCAUUGUGGCCUUAGACCCAUUCCUACUGGAAGGAAACUCACCUCGUAGCCUAGCUGCUGAAAGAACUGCUCUGGAAUCUGUCUGCUGCGGCUCCGGCUUCACCCCGACUACAAUUUCCAUAAGUACCCUCAAUCAAAUACUGAUAAUAAUACUGAGGGUAAAAAGACUAUCUUACCCUUGGUCAAGGUCAACCUAUCGGUCAGAUUCAACAUUCAGUUGACCUGACUCGUCGAGUUUGGUCACCAACUCGUCGAGUCCUUACUCUCACUUUCUUGCUUCUUCCCGUUACUACUCGUCGAGUUUGGCAUAGACUCGAUGAGUUCCUCUUCGAAACUAACACUCAGUCAAUCUGCAUCCGACUCGCCGAGUUGUAUGUACAACUCAUUGAGUUCCCCUUCAACAUAUGAACACUCUGACUGUGACUCGCCGAGUUAUAUGAACAACUCGUCGAGUCUGUUCUUGAGGCAUGAAGAUUGCCUUGGACUCGCCGAGUCAGGGCAUUGACUCGCCGAGUUCUUCCAUGAAUGAGUCUAACCUCCAGCUCAUAGAGCCCAUCUCUCACUCACUGGUUCCACUCGGCAUAACUCGAAAAGGUGAAAACAGGGGACUCGCGACUCGACUCGCCGAUUCUGAAGAACGACUCGCCAAUUCAUAUACAUGCAAUCACUAUAUACUCGAUUCUGCUUGAAACCAGUUCAUUCCAUUCAUAGAUCUGGGUUCUUAGGGCUUGAUUAACAUGUAAAGUUUCCAACUUGGGGUGUUAAAACUCUCCCCCACUUGACUCAGACUUCGUCCUCGAAGUUUGCUGCCGCUGAAUCUGGAAACAACUUUNAAAGGUACUAGAUCUAAGCUUCUGGAACUCAAACCUAGUUAGAUCCGAAGUCUAUUCAUCUCAAUGAGUCCUCUAUGCUACUACCAAGCCAUGAAAUGGUUCAAGAAUAGCUUUAAUGGCUUUCCAAAGGGGAUUAAAGCAUAGAAACAGAAAAGGGUCGAGUUAUACCUCACUAUACUCUAAAAUGCCACAAGGAUCUUGGAUCUCCUUCUUCUCCUCUUGAUCUACCUUCCUUCUUCUCUCAAGAUCUUCAAAGAAUCACACCAAAACACACAAAAGGCUAAGAGAGUUCUAGGAUUUCGAGAAGGAUGCUCUAGGGGUGAUGGGGGCUGACUUGGGGUCCCAAGAAGUUGUUUAAAUAGGGUGCAAACCCUUGAAAUUAGGGUUUCAUCAAGACUAUCGGACUCGCCGAGUCCAGAAUAUGUACUCGCCGAGUAGCCAACUUAAACGUGCUCAAAAAUCCUGACUCUACUCGACGAGUCUGGCUACUGACUCGUCAAGUUCCUCUUGAAAAUUUGAAAAAUAAAUAUUUAAAUAACAUACCAUAACUUGNAUAUAUAUAUAUAUAUAUAUAUAUAUAAAGCAUUAUUUUCUACAAAUAUUACCCUAAUCAAAAAGUAUGUGUUAGUAUGAUUUCAUGGAUAUCAAGAACAUCGACAACAUCGUAUGCAAAAGUUAGAGGCUUUUAAAGAAAAUGUAAAAUCAGCAGGCUAAAAGUGAAAUUAAUGAAACUUGAAACACAACAUUUGGUGCCUUAGGAGUUGAAUUUGGAAUUUUGAUAUUUUUCUCAUGAUUGUAAUGCGAUUCUACACCUAAGUAUGUCUUUAACUCAUUUUGUCCAAAAGUUCCUUAAAGGGUCGGUCAGAUCUAUAACUAGUUUCCCGAUAAAAAAUCUUCAUACGAUUUGUUUUGUGGAUUACGAGACUCUUUACAAAAAGAUAGAAAAAUUGUAUGAAUAAGGAAAUAAUCCAGUAUUUGAUUCAAUUACAAACUUUGCCAUUUCACAAAAGUCUGACGAUUUCGUGAAAAACGGUCGAAUCGCGACAACCGGAAAACCAUUGUUACCGUACUUCCAAACGCUUUGUUCGCAUAGAUACGAAACUCAUUAGGUGGAUAUUUUUACGUUUUCGGACUAAGUUUAUCGAGUACUACAAAACUACGACUCCAAAAAUAUCGCGAGAAGUCGGAUCGUGGCGCUUGGAAUCGAGGGUCGAGAUGGCACCACACGGCUCGAUCCCGACAAUCCACAUUUCACCACUUGGCUUAUAAAUUGAGAGCAUGUUCGGCUAGUUCUCUUACACCAAACCAACCUAAAAUAUACUCCCAAAAAUCCUCUCGCUCCUCUCCACUUUCUGGCGACACAACCACUACCGCCGCCCAGUUGAGUCACAGCCUUUCGGCACCGGCCAACACUAGCCACCGACAUGACCCCCUCACCCCCUACAAGAGACUCCACUACCAACCCCUUCUAAUGUCGACAUCCCUUUUUUCGGUCCUUUUUUUUCAACGUCAUCGUCGCUGACGGUGUUUCCGACUAACUUUCCGGUGAUCAUACCUAUUUUCCGACGCACUUCCGUCCAUUUUCUGAUGGAAAAAUCAGCAAGCCCUCAUCCUCUUUUCCGUCCAGUUUAAGAUUCAUUUGAUGGCAAAGCACUUCCCAUUUGUUUCGAGAAAAAACAACAAAUUUAAAAUCACGCUUCGAGAUUGAGUUUCACGGCCCCAUUUUAAACCUUUUACAGUUUUGAGGAGAGAAAACAUUCUUAAUAUGGUUAUUUGUUCAUAUAAACCUAAAUCAUUUAUUAGCAUUUAUAUAAAAAUCUAUUAUUUAAUCGUUAUACUAAAACCAUCGCUAUAAUUGUCAUAUUUAUAAUGAAUCAACUACAUUGUUGAAAUACUGUUUACAUAAUAUGGAUAUUUGUUAUACCCUGUCGUUAUUUUGUCAAAAUAUCUAGAAAAAUAUUUAAACAACACCGUUACGUUGUUCGUAAAAUUUUAUAAUUAUAUAAUAUAAUUAAAUCUAUAAUUAAAUUGUUAUUUACCUGUUUUGGAAACAAGUGUUUAUUUAAACUAAUAUGAACAUCAAUUGAAACUAUAUACAUAUAACUGGUAUGUUGGUUUUACAUUAGUAAAAACCUGGUUUUACUCGUUUUACAGUCGUUAUGCUUCCGAAAUUUUAUUAGAAACUUUAUAGUAUUAUACGAUAUAAUUAUAAAACAUUAUUAUAAUUAUACAAUGUAAACUUUUGUCUGAUAACUCUGACACUUAAUACACGUUUAGAACCAAACCCCUUAAUGGCUUACAUGAGGCGUAUUCAUUAAAUAAGUGUAAUACUUUCUGAGACCCCACAUUUAUAACUAUUAAUCUCCAUGAGCAAGAGAGUUUUGUAUAGAUUUAUACGUGUUGACACCGCUAGCUACAUCUUUGACGGUCAAGUCACUGGUGAUAACUAUCUUAAAACUAUGACAUUCGAUGAACCGUCGUAAGGGGCAACAACUCAAACAACUCGGUUAUAGGGACUCAUGGUAAGGUUGAGAGCGUUCAAAAUGCAUAUAAGAUGAGGUAAAGCAUCUAUGUACAGUAAACCAUACUUAGAGGGUUUACAAGUACAAAUUCAUAUAAGUCAAAAAAACACUUAUACACAAAUACCACAAACUUGUAGGGUUUACAACUACAUAAUUUUAUAUAAGGCAUGUAAGCACUUAUACACAUACUUUUUGAGAUAUAAAAAGUAUUAUAUUAUAUGUAUAUAAGUCAAGUAAACACUUAUGAUAUACACAUACAUUUUGGUUAUAAAAAGUACAUUUUUAUACAAGUCAGAUAAACACUUAUAUACGAUAUAUAUACAUACAUUUAGUUAUAAAAGUACAUUUUUAUAUAAGUCAUGUAAAAACGUAUAUACAUCAUACAUAUUGUUUGGUUAUAAAAAGUACAUUUUCAUAUAAGUUGGAGAAGCAGCUAUAUACUGUAUAAACAUAUUCUAUUAUAAAAGUACUUAGAAUCAAAACCUAUGAACUCAACAACUUUAUGUUGAUGUAUUUUCAAAACGCAUGUAUUCUUAGGGAAUUAAGAAGUUGAAAGUCAUCUGCUUGGAACAAUCAUGGGAUUACAGUUCAUUUUUCAACUUUUCAUAAUUGCCUAUUAAGGCAUACUUAGUAAUUUAGAUUAUCAUGUACUCCUAGACUAGGGAUGUUGUAAUUUCACUCUUUCUUUAAUAAAAAGUUGAUUAUUAUGAUAUGUUGUUGAACUUGUUCUAUAUGAAAAUGACUGCGAUCCAUGAUGUCAUCCUACCGCCUGGAGUUUCCACCGUCAGUUGGGGGUGUGACAAGUGGGUUUCACAAUGUGAGAGACAGAUCAACUUCCCAACUAAACAUUGAUAGAUUACUAUAUUUAUAGGACUGUCUGCACCCAAUUUAUUCUUAUAUCCAAGUUCAAUUGGAGUUUUACUUGGAUUUCACCCAAGCAUGUAAGUUUCUUCUAAAAGAUCUAGUGUAUAUUUUGUUUGUGAAACAGAAAGACCUUUACAACAUCAUGCAAAUUCCAUUCCCCAAAAGUAAUUUUGUUCACCAAGAUCCUUCACCCAAAACUCUUUCGACAAUAUCUUUUUUAUUUCUUUAAUUUCUUGCUCAGUAUCACUUGUAACUAUAAUAUUGUCUACAUAUACGAUAAGAAUAAUAACUUUCCCUAGUUUUGAAUGUUUUAAAAACAUGGUUAGAUCGGCUUCACCUUGAGUGAAUUUAUUCUUAUUAGUUACACCUGAAAAACAUUCAAACCAUACUCAUGGACAGUGUUUCAUGACAUAAAGGGAUCCACUCAACUUACAUACCGUGUUACUUCCUGAUUGUUCUUCAAAUCUUGAAGGUUCACACACAUACACUUCCUCUUUAAGCUUUUCAUCUAGGAAUGCAGUUUAAUGUCAGUCUAAGUUUACUGCUUGGUAAAUUAAUAUAAGAACAAUGUUGAACUUUGUAAUAGGGGAAAAAGUAUCAGUGUAGUCAAUUCCAUAAGUUUGUGUAAACCCUUUGGCAAUGAACCUUGCAUUGUAUCUCUCAACCAUAUCAUCGGCCUUCUAUUUUACAUUAAACACUCAUUUGCAUCCUAUAGUUUGGUUUCCAUGUGGAUGAUCGACAAUGGUCCAAGUUUGAUUUUUCUUUAAAGAACUCAUUUUUUACAAUAUAGCUUUCUUCCAUUCAGGAUUAGUCAUUUCUUUUUCGAUUAUCUUAGGAAGAGAAAUAUUAUACCUAUUAGAAGCGAAAUCACGAUAUGAUGGUGAUAAAUUUAAGUUACAUAUAAACUUGGAGAUAAGAUGUUUUGUGCAUAAUUGAACACCUUUUCUAACAACAAUACGAUAAUUUAGAUCAGGAGAAGAAAGUGGAGAAAAGAGAGAGAGAGAGAGAGAGAGAGAGAGAGAGAGAGAAAGAUAGCGAUUCACCUAACUCUUUUUGUGAUGAUGGAUCAAGAAUAGGGUCUGAAUCAUGACACUUUGAAGGAUUCACGUUUACCUUUGUUUCUUGAGUUUGCUUUUUUUCCCUUGAGUAAACCUAUUGGAAAUAUAAAUUUUCAUGGGAAUUGACUGUGUUGAAGGGGUCUGGUGUUUAUUUUUGAUGUGGUGAGGAUAGUUUAUUUGUUUAAGAGUUAUUAAUUUCUAGUUUCGAUUGGGUAUGAGUCUAAAGGAACAUAUGCUUUUGAAGGUUUUAAAGGUUGUUCAAUAGCAGAGGGUAUGACUACGUUAGGAAUAAUAUUGAGAGUAUUUGAUUCCGAGAGAUUCCAUUAACAACUUUUUCUUCUCGUGUUUCCCCUAAAGUCAAGUUGUGAAAAAAAGGUUUUGACUCAAAGAAAGUCACGUCACAAGAAAGUCACAAAACCACUCCAUAGAAUGCCAAUAAUCCAACAAAAAUGAAUUACAAGCAUUAUUUCCAUCUGGAAGAGAGUUAUGAAACUUUAAAAUAAUUUUAAGUCUCAAAAAUCUAAUUGAUUUUGAUAUCCAAUGUUAAAAAAAAUUCCUAAAAACCCUAAAAGCCCUAGAAACCUAAAUAUAUAAAGUUUAACCUCAAAUUUUCUAUAAAAAUAAUUAUGAACUUUAUAAUCUCAUCUAAGAAUAAUUAAAAAUUAGGAAAACAAAAUUGAAUUCAUUAACAUUUAACCCUAUUUAUAAGUCAAAAAUCUAAGAAUUAUGAACAAAUUUGUAUUCAAGUGCAUAAUUUUAUAAAAAGUGGGAAUUUUUAUAAAAAUACAAGAUUUAUCAUUUUAAAUAUUCGAAGAGAGAAAGGGAGCCUCUCUAAAAUUUUGGCCACUCCCCUCCCUCCUCUCUCUUCCAUAAAAUCUGCACUAACUUUACUUCAUCCAUACUCCUUCUCUCUCUCUCUCUCAUACACACACACACACACACACUCUCUCUCUCUCUCUCUCUCUCAUUUCUCCCAAUACUUCCUCACCAUCACCACUCAAACUCUCUCUAUUCUUUCUCUCCCUAUCACUUACGAAAUUGCAACCAUAUAACACCAUUUUAAUCAAAAAUCUUCAUCAUUUAAAGUUGCUCUUCAAGGUAAAACCCUAAAUCCUUUACAUCUCCUUCAUUUGUCUUUAAAAAAUAUAUAGUUUUCUUGCAUUUUCGUCUCCUUUUACACCUUUCUUCAUGAUUUCUCAUAUACAUGCACACAUACACAUGGUUUUGAUGAUGAUUGUGGUAGGAUUUCACCCAAAAACACAAUGCAUGUUUGUUGAUGAUGAAAUUCAAUGACCAAAAUCUAUGUCAAACCCAAAAACUUGAGUUUUUACAUGUUUUAAAGAUCAAAAACCACAUGCAUCCAAAUUUUCUUCUUAAAAAAAAUCAUUUUAAACAAACUAAAUUGAUGCAUGAUCUUUAAACUAACAUGCAUGUGAUGAUCUUCAAGCUUAACUUCUAGAUGAACAAAGUAUGUUUUAAUAGCAUCAAAUAUGUUCAUAAAAGAUUUUAAUCCACAAAAUAUCUAAAACACCUUUUCUAGUCAAACCUGAUUUUUCACAGGAACUCAGGAACAUAGUAUGAUGAUCGGGAAAUUUUGAACUUGAUUUAUUAUAAGUUUGGCAAGAAACCAAGGGGAUAAAUCACAUAAAAUACUUAGGUCAAUAAAUCGUAUAAAAAUUACUGGAUGACCCAUAAUGUAAAUGAACAUCCCGCAUGAAGUUUCAUAAAAUGUUGCUACUUUUUACUAUUAUUUUUUUUUAGCUUUGUUAAAAUCAGAUAAAUCAUAAAACCAAGUUCUAAGACAUAACAACAACAUUUAAGAUUUUUCGCAGCUUCUUGACUCUGUAUAACAAUUAGAUAAAAAAAAUAUGAGAAUUUUUCAUAACAUAUUUCUAUUUUUUUACGAUUUAUGUGUAUUUAGUGGAUUAAAUCAGGGAACAAUAGCUAUACUUAUCCACGAUUUACAGUAGGAUCUCAAAUAAAAAGUUAAGUAAUUUUUCUGUAAUUUUUACUAAUUUUCACGAAUUAAAUGCAUAUUUAAGAGAAAAUAUGAGGGGAAAAUAGUCAAACCAUUCUAAAAAAUCAUGCAAACUAACCAGGUCAUUCUUAUUCAUUUUUACCAAAAUUAAAAAGUUGGAUUAUUUUUCUUCACUGUUUUAUUUUUAUUUCGAAUUUCUUGGCAUUAAACACACCUAAAAUCAUUAAAAAAAAUGGUUUUCGGUUCAAAAUUUUCAUUUUAAUUUUUUACUAGCUUAUAGAUAUUGUAUAUAAGUCACCCAAAGAGUUUGAGGAUUUAUUUUAACUAUUUACUAUUUAUUUCGAUUUUCUUUUGAUUAAACACAUAUAAAUCAUAAAAUCAUACUCUACUGUUUAAAAAAAUCUUUUGAUAUUUUCCCCAACUUAUAUAUGUUAUAUAACAGUUGUACAAAAAUAUUUAGAAUUUUUUGUUAAUGUUUUUCUAUUUUUCCAUGAAUUUGUGUUGAUUCAAGUGGGUUAAUUAUAGGAGAAUCAAUUAUACGUAUCUAAAACUCAUAAAAACUAUCUAGACUACAGUUGGAACAAAAAUAAAAAGUUUAGUGAUUUUUACUUAUUGUUUACUAUUGAAUUAGAAUUUCUUCGUAUAAUAGACGCUUGAAUUAAAAAAAAAUCGGGUUUUAUUGAUCAAAAGUGACAUUUAAUAGUUUUCCUAGUUUAGGGACACUGUGAAACUGUUACAAAAAAUUCUAAGAAGUUUUCAUGAUCAAUUUCUGUUUUUCCAUGAUUUUAUGAUUAUUCAAGGAAUUAAAAUUGUAAAAAAUACUUUGGCAUAUCAACAAUUCAUGAAAUUCAUUUAGUGGUCUUUGAUUACAACUAGAACUAAAAUAUAAAGUUUGUAAAUUUUUAGAACUGAUUUGAUUUAGUUUUGAAUAUUUAAUCCUUGGAACACCUCCUAAAAUGUUAAAUUCUAACAUUUCAAAAAUGGGAUUUUUCCACUUCAAUUUGUUAUGUAACAAAUUGAUUCAUGGAAAAUUAAAUUUACCGAAAAAAAAAUUUCAAUCUGACGAUACCAAAAUUUUGUCACAAAAUUGGCAUAAUUCUAUUGAAGAAGUUAAAUAUGCUAGUGUUAGAUUUCGAUUAGAGACUCACUAAAGUAUACCAUUAUUGUAUGAGAUCGAUAGUAGGUCGUGUGGAAUUUAGUUCAAGGCAUCGUUAGCAUCAUCUCGAAGCUUUGUGAGUAUUCACGACCCCUGUUUUUGGUUGUACAUUUUAGAGUGGAAAAGCAUGUCCAUAUUUAAUUAUGUUUGUUGUAUUUCAUUUAUCUUUUAUCAAAUUGAGUUACAUUUUCAUGUAUGUGUAUACAAUUGUGAAACAUGAGACCUUAUCAUAUCAAGUCCCCUUUUACUUCACACAACUCAUUAACUCUUUUGAGCCAAUGGUCAUUAUGAAUAAUGCUAUUAGGAACUUGACAACUCCUCACUUGUCUGUUUUUCAGAGUGCAUAUUACCAUGUCCAUCUAUGUAACAAUAUCGUAGAUCAUGAUAGAGCGUUUUACAGUCGUUGGGUUUGGGUUGUGCACUCAUCGUUAGUUAAUAUGGACAUAUAAACUUAUUUACACAUUACAUCAAAAAACUUUAUUACUUUAUUAUAACAACAUACUUUAUUACAUCAUUUUAGCCACAAACUUUAUUACUCAUGAUGGUAAUGUACUUCUGUUAUGGAAACCUUUAUCAAUAUUUAGACUUCCUUGAUUUUAAAAUGAUGUUAUGUUAUAAACUUGUGAACUCACCAACUAUUUGCAUAGUUGACCCUCAUUUUACAUGCUUUUUCAGGAAUCAUCUAGUAAAUGGCACCUAGACACACAUCAUGUGUAGAAGCAUUAUGCAUGUGUUGUAUUUCGAAUAUAUUGUGAUUUCCUUUUUACAAAUUGUUCAAAACUUACUGUAAAAAGUUGUAAUGCUUUUUAAUACUAUGGUUGGUGUUCUCCUUUAACUUUUGCAAUGAGACCUGUUAUAUUGUCGUACCUUGUGUUUUUGCUUUAGCGGGGUGUGACAAGUAGCAUCAUAUUAAGAGUAUGUGUGAGAUGGGAAUGGAGAGUAGAACUUUGUUUGAUGACAUUGAUGACCAAUGGGAUACAUCUUACGUACAGGAGUACUAUAUUAGUAUCCCCCUCCUUUUUAGAUAGAAAAAAUGGUAUUUUUUUAUCAGGAAGUCGUUAGGUGCCCGAAUGUCCAUUAACUAAACCUAGUCUUAUGGAAUACACAAGCAUAUUUAUAAUCUGUAAGUGUUAAUGAAUUAUACUAAUCUGAGGAGACUGGAUUGUAUGUUCAUUCAAUGCACUCUACCCGCCUCAUGGUUGCCUUUAUUUACUAUCGCUUGCUGCCAAGGGCUCCCCGAAGCAGUACAGUCAACUAGUUACUUACAGUAGUCCAUCAAGAUAGAUCUUAUAAGAUCAUUGUUAGAGGAUAAUUAUGUAAGGAUCGACAAGAUAGACACAAGAUAGACAACUAAGGUUAAAUUUUCAUAUAGAUAUUUAUGAUGUGUUAUUUGAUAACAAAUGGUUUUUUAGGUUAUUUUUAUGGAUUAAUAUUAUAAUAACAUUAUGGGAUUGAAAAUCUCUAUAUAUCUCACUAGGUUUCCCAACCUGACCGACUCAAUUUAUAAACAUUACAGGUAUGUGAGUACUAGAAUCAAUGCGCAAGGACAAAGUUUGAAAAUUCAAACCUUGAUUUAAUCUUUAAGAUCAAUGUUUGCUCUUAAUUAAAGGUUCCAGUCGAUUCUGGUAAUACUAGUGAAGACAUGAAUGAAUAUUCAACAAAGUACUCAAAACUAAAUGAAGUAAACUAUGAGUAUAAUCAAUGUAAAGACAUUUAACGAACAAGAAGAAUGUUAUGAAAGAUAUUGACUUGAGAUAAAAGUGAAAGAGAAUUAAAGAGAAUAUUUUCUAUAUUUGGAGUAACAAUGCAUAUGUUUCUUGUCAUUCAAAAUACUCCUUAAAUAGACUAAGGAGGUACAUCGUACAGACUUAGAAACAUUCCUAGGACUGGUUAAUAAUCAGUUACUGACAACUGAUUAUCUAAAAGAUACAAAAAGAUAAUUCCUAUGAAACGUUACAUAAUUAAUAAGGCCAUGAACAUUAAACGUUCAAAGAGACAACUAAUCCUGGUUCUUCACUUCAUCUCGGAAUGAUCUCCAUCUCGUACUCCAUCUCUAUCUCGGACUUCACCAAUCUCGGAAAUUGCUGACUUCGGAUCUUCAUUCUUGUGAUUGCUAGAGGUUCACUUUUCAUGUUUCAACAAUCUCCCCUAAGUGAACUUAGCAAUCAGGUCAGCUUAGUUGGCUUCUUCAGUGAUGAAUACAUGAGCUCUGUAUAGCCAGUUUCGGACUUCCAGAUACCACUGAAGCUGACUGGUGAACUUGGUCUUCACAUGCUCCGGGGCUUCUAACUUAGUUGCAUUUGUGAUAAACUUUUGAAGAACUCUUGAGGGAACGAGAUGCUUGUCCAGGACUCAGAAGAAGUCCUUUUUCUUUGUCUUCUUUUGCAAGUAGACGUAUCCCAACACAGGUUCAUCAAUUGGUCCUUCUGCUAAGAUUUCAGCUUCAGGCAGCUUGUAAUCAAUUUUUGCCAAGAACUUUUCAGUUCCGAACAAAUGAGCCAGUUCAAAUUCACAUCUACAAAACACAACAACAUUAUACUUCAGUUAGUUCAUUACAGCACUGUAAGCAGCAAUGCUCAUCUGACUGUCUUGAUGAGUUCGGAAAUGAGCAGCAAUGGUCAAGAUGUUAUUUAGAUUAAUGGAGGGGAAGUCGACGUUCGUGAUGGUGAGUUGUGUUGACUUGUUCCGAUAAAUGUAGUAGCGAUGCAACAAACAGUCUAAGUCAAAUUUUGUUAAGAAUUUUCUUCCGAACGCAUAUAUUUUUGUAAUUCAUUUCCGAGACCACACUUCUUUUUGGGGACGUUUGUUCCAGGAGUAGAAUUUCUUCAAUUGUUACCUUUCGAUUCUAAUGAUCAUUUGAGGAUCAUCUUUUGGGUGGAGAGGAGCAAACUUGAUUUAGAACUUGCCAUAAGGAGAGAUGAGGAGAUCAACCAUGAAUGGCACAAUGUCCAAAUCAUGAACUAUUCCUUCACGACAAAGUGGGGAAAGCCCUAGCAUUGGAUUGGGGUUGUCUUUGAGACCUUGAAUCUAAAUGCUCUCUUCAAGGGAUUGAGCUAUUUGUGCUUGAGACCAACCAUCAGGCUUCUUGGUGGUCAGUUCAUAGCAGUGGAAUUCCAAGAUAGGCUUUUUUUUCCUUUAUAUUGUUGUUUGUUCAGAACCAAGAUGACAUGCUGCAUAUUUUCAUCGAUGGUAAACUCUAUAGGUGGAGGAAUCAAAGGCUCUUCUGGAAUGUUUAGGUUUCAGAAGUGGAGAACCUUCAUCGAUUAGAGCUAUUCUUGGUGAGGGAAUUGGAGGCAACAUUGAUGAGGUGGCUCGAAAUGCCUCAAUUGUGAGCUUAGUCUUUAUCUUAUCCGUUUCACGACUUCUUUGUAAACCAUCAGCCAAGGAUGAUGGCCAUGUGACUGCACACCAUACCCUUUGCUCUUCCUCAGAAAGAAAUUUCACCGAAAAUUUCUUCUGAGCUUGAAUUCCUACCACAACAUUUGUGAUGUACUUGACAUCUUCAUCAUCAUCAUCAUCAGGUGGAGUACCUGUGGAAACAACUUGAACAGAUUCAUCAUCCGAUUUAUCUCGGAGUUUAAACUUUAAGGCAAGCUUCCAAGAGAUCUUUGAUUAAAAGGAUGUUUACUUUAUUGAGACGUGUGCAAAAAGUGUGAUUUUCAGUUAUAAAAAAUAACCGUUUGAGUUAUUGUGAAAAAACAUUUCAGAAAUAAUAAUGAAAAACCUUUUGAACUUCUUUUCAAGAAAAGGAUCUCAGAGCAAGGAAGUUAUGAGAUGAAUUGUCAAAAUGAUCUCGUAGCAAGAGAGCUCCAAGAUGAAUUGUCAUAAGAUACUUCUGAGAUGAGAAAAAAUAACUUGUACAUGAUAUAGAGUUUGAGAUUGCACAGAAUCAGGCUGAAUAUCAGAGGUAAAAGGUAAGAAGAUCUUAGAGGACAUAUUUUAAACAAAUUUUGAGAUUCUGAUACAUGAAGGAGCAGAUCUCGAACAAAGGUAAGAGGCGAACACACAUUACCAUUUCGGACUUGAAUUCCGAGAUGACCUUCAUAACACACUUUUUGAGAUAAAUUUUGAGGCGAGAUCAAACAACAUACCAAUGUGACUAUAUUGGUCAUAAACUUUAAAAGUUUGAGUGAGUUGUAUAACUUAAACUAGAAGAGUAGGUUAGAUAAAAAGACACAUAAAACGGUCCUAUUUAUUCUGAAAGGAAACGAUUCCGAGAGGAAAACAAUUCUGACUUCAGAAUAAUUUCACCUCCUGAUGAUAUCAUCAGAGAGUACAAGCCUCUUGAAAGAAUUGAGGAUCAAGAAACAUCAUACCCAUUUUGUUCAGAAAACCAUUGAGUUUGGUUUUGUCGAAUGCCUUAUUAAAGACAACAACAAUUUCAUUGUCAGAUGGAACAAAAAUAAGUUCAAUUUUUUCUUUUAUAACAUGAUAUUUAAUGAAAUGGUAUCGUAUAACAAUGUGCUACGUCAUGGAGUUAUGAAUUGGAUUGUGUGAAAUCGCAAUGGCAAUUUGAGAAUCACAAUAGAGUGGAAUUUGUUGGAACUAGUAACCAUAAUCCAAAAGUUGUGAUUUCAUCCAAAAAACUUGAGAGGUGCAACUAUCAGCAACAAUGUAUUCUGCUUUGGUUGUUGAAAGUGUAAUGUAGUUUUGUUUCUUAGAUGGCCAGCUAACCAAUCUUCCACCCAAAAAUUAACAGCCACCAGAGGUUCUUUUUCUGUCCAAUUGAAGACCACCAUAGAUUGAAUCGGAAUAUGCUCGUAGGAGGAAACUCUCAUUUGCUGGGUACCAAAUUUUGAGACUCUUUGUUCCUUUGAGGCAUCAGAAUAUUUGCUUGCCCGCCAAAAGAUGAGACAUCUUUGGAUUGACCUGAACUCUGGCACACAAACAUGAAGAAAACAUGAUGUACGGACAACUUGUGGUUAGGUAGAGUAGCGAUCCAAUCAUUCUGCUACACUUCUUCUCAUCAACAUCAACACUUGACGGGUCCGAAAAGAUCUUAUGUUUCAAACCCAUAGGUACCUUUGCAGAGGCACAGGUGUCUAUUGAGUAUUUCUUAAGGAGCUCAGAUAUGUAUUUCUCUUAGUGAAUAAAUAUUCCUCUGUUGGUUUAUUUUACUUGGAGACCAAGGAAGAAACUUAGUUCACGAUUCAUACUCAUUUAGAAUCGACUAACCAUUAACUUGGCAAAAUCAGCAACCAUUGAUGAAUCCGUGGAUCCAAAAAUAAUAUCGUCCACAUAGAUUUGAACCAUCAUGCGAUGUUUUCCAUUUGAUAUUCGGAACAGGGUAGGAUCGAGAAUUCCUCUUUGAAAAUCAGAACGCUUGAGAAAGUCAGUGAAAGUCUCCUACCAGGCGCGAGGAGCUUGCUUGAGGCCGUAAACAGCUUUUCAGAGUUUGUAGCAAUAGUUCAAAUAGGAAAGAUUGACAAAAAUGGGAGGCUGUUGGAGAUACACAUCAAUAUCAAGUUUGUGGGCUGCAUAGGCAACAAAAAUUAUGAUAGAUUCAAGACGAGCAACAGGAGCAAAGGUCUCUUCGUAACCGAGUCCUUCGAUCUGAGUGAAUCCUUUAGCCACCAAUAUUGCUUUGUUUCGAAUGAUAACUCUAGUGUCGUAUAGCUUGUUUCGGAACACCCAUAUCGUACCAAAAAUGGGGUGAUUUUGAGGAGCAGGGACAAGAGUCCACACUUCAUUUCAUUCAAAUUCUGAAAACAAUUCUUGCAUGGAUGUAAUCCAGUCAGCAUCUUCUAGUGCUUCCUUGAUGGAUUUUGGUUCAACCAUUGAGAUAAAGGUAUAGAAAUGACAUUCCAUUUGGAUGUUGGUGGCAGAACGAGUUUGAAUACAGGCGUUUAGAUUUCUAAUAACUUGGUUCAAAGGAUGAUCCUUGGUCCGAUAUGUAGUCUCGGAAGCUCUACUUCAACAAAUGAUCCGACAUCAACAAUAGGAUUAUGUUGCUCCCCCUGAACAAUUUGAAUUUGAGGAUGAUGCUUCCCCUAAACUUCUUAACCUGAGAUACCAACGUUAUCUUCAUCCGGAAAGUCAAAGAAAUUUGUAUCAUCUUGAUUGUUGAUCAGAGUGGUAUCAAAUUCAGCGAAUUGAUCUGUUGCAUCUUGAAAUCCAUCCGCAUUUGAUUCAAGGGAAGGUUUACCAUUCUCCCCCUCAACCUGAGAAGGUUGAAAUGGUUCGAAAUCAAAUGGAGGAAACAUGGGGGUCAGACCAGAAACAUUUUGGGAAAUAGGAGCGACAAUUGAUGAUGAUUGUAUUGAUCGAGAUUCCGAAUCAAGUGUUGUUUUGAUUUCCCGAACAAGGUUUCAAAAUCGACUUCAUGAAUUAUUUAAGGAUUCGGACAUCCUGGCGAUGGAUUAUCGGACUCCAUGAUGUGGGUUGUGACAUCAAAGCUUUCUUCAAGAACACGAGUUCGACGAUUCAGAACUCGGUAAGCUUUUAAUUUUGCUGAGUAUCCAAGAAAGAUUGCUUCAUCGGCUUUUGGUUGAAAUUUCGUGAGAUGAUCACGAUUGUUCUUUUAUAAAGCAUCGACAGCCAAAGACGUGUAGAAAAGAGAUACACGGCUUACACCAUUCAUCGCUUCGUACGGUGUCAUAUUGAGGCGUCGAUUGAUGAUGCUUCGAUUCUGAGUGAAGCAAGCAGUGGACAUGGCUUCAGCCCAAAGAUAGAAUGAAAGGUUUGCAAAGUUAAGCAUCGAUCGAGCAUCUUCAACAAGCUUCAGUUUCUUCAUUUAACCACACCAUUUUGUUGAGAAGUUUAGGGAGCUAAGAAAUCAUGGUCAAUACCUUUCUCGAAGAGGAAUUUUUCAAUGGUGAAAUUGGUAAACUCAUAACCAUUAUCACUUCAGAUUCGUCGAACCGGCAGACUGAUGAGAACUUUAAUUCCUUUGAUAAAAUUGAUAAGUUUCUAGGCUAUUUUUGACUUGAGCCUGAGGAAGAAAUCCCAGGUGAACCUUUUAAAAUCAUCCACAAUCACAAGAAUGUAUUUCUUAUGAUGUAGACUUUCAACAAUGAAGGGUCCACACAAAUCUAUAUGAAGCAGUAUUAAUGGUGCUGAGAUUGAUUUUUUGAUGAUGAUAGGAUGACCUUUCUUUGAUUGCUUCCCACAUUAACAGGCAGGAUAGAGAUGAUCAUUUUCAAACUUGAGGAGAGGUAGGCCUCUGACCAGUUCACCAGAAACAAGAUAUUCAGAUAUCGGAAGUUUAAAUGAGCAAGCCUUCGAUGCCAUAACCAACUGACAUCAGGAAUUUCCUUUGAGAGUAGACAGAGUUAAGGUUUUCCAAUGAUCAUGUUGAUGUCAAGAGGAUACAUGUUCUUGUUGUGAUUUGACUUGAUCAGACAUUCUUUUCGGUCUUCGGUCAUGACAUAACUGUGUUUCUUGUAGAAUUCAACUUGACAAUUUGCAUCAAUAAGUUGAGACAUACUAAUUAGGUUAUGCUUCAGGUCAGCUAUGUAUGCCACAUUUUAGACAGAGAAGUUUAUGUUGGUAUGGAUGCCAUAACCUCAGAUCCGAGAAAUGGAGUUGUUGUCAUAUGUCACAUAGCCAACAUUUGAUGAGAGUUUGAGAUCACGCAAAAAAUCUUUUUGCCCCGUCAUGUGCAUGGAACAAGCACUAUCAAUAUAUCAUAUUGUAUCUUGUUCCGAAGCACAGAGUGCCUGCAAAAAUUAGUGAAUUUUGGAUUUUUUAAGGCUCCGAGAUAGAUUUUGGGACUUAGGCACGGGCUUUAGACUUGGAUUGUGACUUUUGAGCAACAGGUGUCUUGGAGGGCUUGUUCCGAGAUCCUUUGGGAAAGAAGCAAAAUGCCAAAGUCUUUUCAUUGAUACAUAAAUCAUAUUCAACAACAGGUUGUUUAGCAACAACUUUUCUUUGAUUGACUAUUUUUGAAGCUGUAGGAAUCACAGUGUUACUUGAAGUUGCAAUAUCUUUUUCAAUACUUUUAGCUCUCCACUCAAAUUGUUGUUUUGAAUUAUUUGAAAAUUUCUGAGUAAUGGUGUUUUUAACAAAUCGUUCUUUGUUUACUGCUAUUGAUGGUACAUUUGGUUUCGAAAGCUAUUGAGGUUUAAAAAUCGUACCAUCAGAUUUAGCAAUGAAAACAGAAGAAAGAGACCGAGGAGAAUUAUUUCUUGUGGGACAAGUGUCAACAGACUUUUUCGGAAUGGGACUGACAACUUUGUUUUGAACUACCAAACUAGGAGGAAUGGAUGGACUUUUAAGAAUCUUAACAGGUGCAAAGGUGUUGUGGUUCCUAUUGGAUGGGCUCACAGCCCGAGAUACUUUCUUCUUAGAAUUCUCAAUGAAGCUAGACUUUUGUCUUGACCUAAUUUCCUUUUUGAGUGAAUUUAUGUCUUCUAUCUUAGGAUCGGCAAUAUCUUUUCUAUUCAAUGAAGGUUUCUUCCUGGAGUCUGAUGAUGACUUGGAAGUUUGGCCAGUAGAUGGGUUGUUGAACAUGGGUAUAAUUGGCACUAAGGUGGUUUUUGAAAUUACUUGAGAGUCCUAAACACAAGAAUCGGAUUAAUUAUCACUUAUGGUUUCUACUUCAACGUCAUUGUCUAAGGAUGCCCAAACAAAAUCUGAUCUAUCCAAGUCAGGUCCAGUUGUCUCUGGAAUGAUUCCUCAACAAGACAAUUGUUGGGAAGAUUGUGGGUCGGAAUUUGAACUAUAGUGUGGGGAAUGGUUGGAGAAAAUUUUGAGGUCUGAUUCAGGUCCAGGGGUAUCAGAGGAGGAAGAGGCGUGGAAUCAUGAAAUUUGGCAACUAUUGGUUGAAACUCAGAAAUCAAAGAUGAGAAUCGAUCCGAAGUCUCAGGAAGGGGUGAUGUCACACCCCAAAACCUGAACGGCGGAAACGUUUUGGGGCGGAGGACGUCAUGUACAGUAUCACAACAAUGUAAAAUAGUAAACAAGCAACAACAUCAUCCAUUGCAUUAAUAAUAGAAUUAUUAUACAAGUGUUGUCUAUCAAAUUUUGAUAAAUACUAAAGCAUAAAUCAAAAUGAGAGAUGGGUCUUGAACGAGCUCCAUCUUCUCUAAUCCUUGCAUCGGUACCUGUCUAUAGAUGACCUGAUGAUACAAGUAAUUUUGAAAGCGAGUAUCAGCUUUGAAGCUGGUGAGAUCAUAAGUAUUUUAGUGUCUUAAUUUGUAUGUAAGAAAUUGUUUGUAAAUGAACUAUAAGUAUGGAAAAAUGUAGAUGAACUGUAAGUAUAAAAAUGUUUGUAAAACAACUGUAAACGUUUAAAAACCCUAGAAAUCCAUAUGAUUACUACUUUAUAUAAAGGUGUCUUCUACCAAGACUUAACUGUUCUAAAUGUUCGUUUCUUGUAAAAGUGUGUAAUUUUCCCAAGUGUAACUAUCAUUAUCAAAAUAUUGUUUUUACAUUAAAUGUUUAAGUGAAAUGAUCACUAAAUAUAUGAAAAGGGGAAAUUAAUGUAGUACUGUAGUGUUGUAUUAUAGGAACUACUGCUGUACUAACUACCUUAAACCGGAUUUAUAUUAAGGUAUCAUGUGAUUAAUUGCACCAUACUAUUGACUGGUAACAACGACAUACGAAUGGUCGUAAAACGGAAUGACGUUUGGCACCCACAGACCUGCAGGUCCGGCUGUAGCUAGCAGCAAGGUGUAGGAUAGUCAAUCCAGUAUAGAUCUAUACGCAAACUCACGCUCUCCCUCCAAGAGAAUUUUGGCUACAACUCGGGCCAUGACAUUUAAGGCAUGCUCUGAUACAGUGGAUCACAAUUGUUAACGUAUUCAUGUAUAUGUAAUGUAAUGUUACUUGUUCUAGUAUCGUUGUAUAUGUUCUCUUCCUAGUAUAGUUGUAUAUGUUCUCCUCUAGUAUAGUUGUAUAUGUUCUUCUCUAGUAUAGUUGUAUAUGUUCUCAUAGUAGUAAGUAUUGACUCAUGAAUGAACUGACUCAUAGUAUGAUAUUAAGUUUUAGUAAUAGUUCUAGUAUCUUCCUAAACUACCCAUAUGGUAGUUUACUAGUAAUCUAACUGGUACGUAUGGACAUGGAUGUAAACCCUUGCUACCCAAGGGCAUGGGAUGAACUGGAAGGGCCUUUAUGACUAUAUAUGUACAUAUGUUAUAUAACUAAUAUUUAAACGACCUUCGGACGAGUACCCGAUAUCCCACCAGACCACAUCUCAAGCGCGAAAAGGAAAUAGGGUGGAUAGCCUUCCUAAGUCUUUUAAACGUUUCUUAUAUAACUAUACAUAUAGAGGCAUGCAAUUUAUAAUAUAAAAGAAUAAAUAAGUUUUUUAAAACCUUUUAACAUAAUUAUUAUCUUAAGAGAAGAUCGACUUGAUGUCAAUCUAUAAAACGGUUUGAAGGCAUGGGUUUGAUAAAACAAUUUAGUAUAAAGAAACAUUUGUUUGAAACACAAUUGUAAAUAAGUUUGAAAUAAAACAUAUAGAGUAAAAUGUACAGUUUAAUAAGGAGUUUUAAACAUAUAAAGUAUUUAUGAAAAGCAUAUAAAGGAAACUAUUUGGUAAAACGGCUAAUGAGUAGCCAAUCAUUUGAAUGCUGCUUAUUAAUCACAUGUCAUUGAUAUAAUAAUUAUCAUAAUUCUACUUGUAUGCCCCCCCCACCAUAAAACAUUUAAAAAUAGUUUAAAACAUUAAUUAAGGGAUAUGAACUCACCUGCAGUAAGUGAUUGGAAUUGAACGGAAAGUUAUCGUAAGGAAUGAUCGGACAAGUGCUUGGUGUCAAGUGAAGAAUUUAGACACACACAAUGAUCCUAAUUACAUAUGAAGACAUAUGUAUAUAAAUAACUAGUGAUUAAAACACUAAUUAUACAAUUAUAAGCAUUUUAAUGCGAGGAAAACACUUUUGGUCAAGUGCUAGGAGGCAAAUGGGUUGCAACAAAGGAGUGCAAGACCUCUAAUGGGGGUUUAUGGUCAAAUGACCAUAUGAUUUGGAGUUUUCAAGUCCCUAUAUUAUCAAGGAAUGCAUUAAGGAAAUUGUCCAAAGCUUUAGGAGGAUUUAUGGCACCAUUUGGCACCAUUUAUUGGAAUUCACGGCCCUAGAGCAUCUUGGGCCGUGAACACCCUUUUCUUGGUGUUUUAGUGGUGUUUGCUAGCCCCAAACACACUAGGGUACUUGUCCUAAUUUGUCUCUUGGCUUAAGGAGGAUUUUCAAGGCAUUUUGACACCUAAACAUGGAGUUCACGGCCCUAGAACAUCCUUGGCCGUGAACUCACUUUCAUCCUUGAUUUUAAUUGAUUUUGAUGUCCUAAACAUGAAAUGGUAGUCCCUAUGUUGAGUUCUAAGGAUUUGAGGGGCAUUGGGACACUUUUGGCCCUUAAAAUGGAGUUUACUCCCCAAGUGUUCUUGGGUUGUAAACUCCCAAAUCUUGGGGUUUUGGUCCAAUUUUGAUGUUUCUAAACACAAUCUAAGCUAUAUAAUAUAACUAGAUCGAAGUACUCACAAUUUGGGAUAAAAACCCGAAGAUCUGUGAGAGAGAAUUUGACUUUUCUUUAAAUGGAAAUGUAACUAAUGAACCAAUAUGGUUCAAUUUUCUAUAUAUAGUCCUGGGAUUUUUGGCAGAAAAUAUUUUUAUUCCCGGAAUGAACUCUAAUAUCAUAGAGUAUCAGAAUAACAGUGUUGCACGAAACCCUGGUGCAUCCACUCUCCCGAUAUUUCCUUAAGUGUAAAUCCUGAAAAACUGCCAAACUUAUACUCGAAGUCUGGAAUUUCACUGUAACUGUUCUACUUCUAUUGGUUUGAUAUGGUUUGUUCAGAAUGGAAAUUUCGGGUUGUCACAUCGUCCCCCUGUUGAAGGGAAUUUCGUCCCGAAAUUAGAAUUUAGGCAAGGAAGUAGGUACGAAUGAUCGAGUCGUGAGGAGGAAACUUCCUAAUUGAUUGGUUCUAGCGCACCUAAGUGAAAUCGGGUUCUCGGUUGGCAAUCCAACGAACCUUCACUAACUGGCGACGGCGUUGCUUCGUCCGCUUGACCUCUCGGUCGAGGGUCACUACGGUUCUAAUACGAAGGCGAGGAUCUCGACGAGUGGACUUACAAGAGUCCUAACGGAAAGGUAUGGUUUCACGAUCGAGACGCUAAGAGUAUAAUGUACGUUACUGAGUUCGCGGAGUAGGUCUAGUUUGCGAGAUACAGGACUGAUUCUGGUAAGAAUCUCGGAGGUCCUGUCUAUCUUGGAUUUAGCUUUCCACGCUUUAUGAAGCGUAUUAAGCCGUUCCCGAGUGAGACUUCCUAAAGAAUUUGGUCUCUCACUUGGAAUUUCCAAAGGUUCUUUCUCUUGCUUAACAUCCCAGUCAAGGGCCACUCCUUGCUGGGUCAAGUUCAUAUGGUUUCCUGUGAUUUGUGAGGGUUUCUAGAUGAACUAUGAUAGUAGGUCUGUAAGACCUAGAAUUUGGCGAAUGACUGUCGGCGCCUCCGGUGUCGACAAAUGCUCAACGGUUUUGACAAAUUGAAAAAGUACUCAAAAUUUACCACGUUACUAACAGUGUGUCAUAGAAAUUCGACUCUUCAAUUUCAAAACUCGUGCCUAGAGAACUUCGCGAAAAGUUCCUCUGAAGGUAAUGUUUCCAUGGGUUUUCUUCUUACUACGAGGGUAGAUAAGUAAGUCAUUACAUGGAGAAAUGACGAACUGAUCCAAGUAAGAAAGACGUACCCUACUCAUUUAGCUCAUGAAAGCUAUGGGCGUAUUGGUCCUAUCCGAAGGGUAUCACUACGGACUCGAAGUGUCCGCAUCGAGUUUGGAAGAUAGUCUUCCGGACAUCCUUCCCUAACACUCGAACUGGUGAUAUUCGGAUCUCAGAUCCAUUUCUGAAAGUAAUUCUUUCCUUGCGUUUGCUCAACCAUUUCAUCUAUGCGAGGCAGAGAUAACGAUUUCUAAUGAAAAAUCUUGACGGAGUCCUCGAUAUCCGAGGCACAUACGAUGCAAUCCGUCGAUCUCCGGAAGAAUAAGACCGGGGUUCUCCAGGGUGAGAAGCCUAGUCUUCUAAUUCUAUUUUUGUGUAGUUCGUUAAGUUGUCAGUACUGUUCUGGUAUCUCCGUGGGUGUUUAGACUAUUGGGCGAUCUGUUUACAAGAGUCGUAUUGGGUUCUAAGUUUGUUCAUAUGACGAUGCGAUUACUCGUAGGCUUAGGCAGUUCUCCGUCCUGAAGUUCAUAUUAGAAUUCAUACAUGUUUUCACAAUCACAAUCUCGUGUAUACGAUAUGUAUAUAAUUAAGAUCGAAAAGGUAGUCGAAUAACUGAUUCUUCUUUAAGCUCACUUCCUUUCGAGGAAAAAGAAGUUAAAGUGGAAUCAUCAAUUCUAAAUCUGUAGAACCUUGAUUAUAUAUCCCUCUUAUGUAUACAUUCCUCAGUGAUAGAUCAAUCACAUGAAUCCUUGGAUUAAACUUGACGUACUGCAUGAGUGGUACUUGGGGGAUUUCUUCGGAAAGAAAAUAACUAAGAGGUACUCCUGGCAUGAGUACUUUGGUGUUCUAAUAUGACGGCUUCGCUGGAAAGUGAUCUAGAAGAAAGCGACGUACGUAUGAAGCUGUUUUUGUGAGGAUCACAUUGAAUCGAGUCGUAUGAUAAUGUCGAAAUCAUACUGAAACUUAAAGACAUUAGAUUUGAACAUAAGACGUUUACAGACAAAACACAACCGUGCAACCAUGAACAGAGUUACAGUACUUUAGACUUACGACAAGACCAUUGCUGAGAAUAAGGUAUACAACAAAAGACAAGUAUACGCAGCACGAACAUCCUUAUACAGACAUGAUCUAGCAAAAGGUAAGACUCUAGUUGCACUAGUUCUGGAUAGUUUAUAAGUAUGUUACAACAACACGCCUAAGUUACAUUAACGAGGGUUCCGGAGUAGGCUCUCCUGCAGCUGUGAUUCUGAGAAUCCUCCCAUCUGCGCCAGAGUUCUUUGCUAUAGGGAAAUCCCUCUUGAAGUGACCUAUCUCACUACAUUGGUGGCAUGACUGGCUAGUACUAGAUUUGGUGGCGGGAGUGCGGUGCUUAGCCAGUGUUAUGUGGACACGAGUGCCUUCCUCAUUACUCCACUUUCAAAAUUGCUUCCUAAAGCGUUCUGCCGGAGUUGCCACUGGUGGAUGUGGCAUGGCAAGUCUUUCGGCUUUCUUGCGCUUCUUUAGGGCUUUACAAUAUCGUCUCUUCCUUUCGAUCUUUAGGCUUCGCAAGUCCAUGACUGUUGCCAUUUGUCGGUUUCCCGGUUUGGUACUACCAUCGGAACUCUCGACUCCUUUCUCAGUCUUGUUUGUGUUGCCUGAGUUGAUGUGUGUAAGGAAAGUUGUCACAGCAGCUGCUACUGCAGCUUGUAAUGUAGCGGCGUCAACAUGGAGGAUAGGGGUUUCGGUACUCGGCUGAUCUUUUCUAGAAGAUGCCAUGAUUCUGUUUCACGGAGAGAAAAUAAAUUUGUGAGCGAUUCUGGUCGACCCUAGGUGCACGGCGAUUGUUCAAUCAAAUAGUAAGAGUAUGUUCUCGAAAGUUUGACCUACAUCCCUAUGAUGCAGUCCUAGCAUGGAAAUGGAAGUAUGAUCGCGAAGGUUUGACCUUACAUCCCAAUGAUGCAGUCCUAGUAAUGAGUAGAAGUAAGUUCGUAGAAUGGUCUCAAAACGUUUGUCGUUCAAGCCGAGGUAUCGUGGGUUGGUGAAUAAAAAGAUCCAACCACUGAAAGAGACUUGGAAAUGUCUCUGGAUCUAACUUGCUAUAGUCCAAUGACUUGACUAAAGCAGGUUUCAGAUAGACUCCAAUGAGAGUAUGAUAAGAGUACUUAAAUAAAGAAUGACACAAAAGUUAGCCGGCUGUCAAUAUCUUUGAUAUUAAUGACGUAAAGAUUCAGGAAAAUGACCUUGUAAAGGUCUUACAUCAUAUCUAGAGAAGAUAAUUCUUGACAGCAUAAGGACCUAACCUACAGUACUUACAGUGCAAGGUAAUUUCAUAGAAAAUGCCACAUCGGGCAAAGAUAGAAAACGAUUACAUUCUAACAAGGGAAGUAAGGUAAAGAAUCUACUACUGACGACGGUUAUCCCUCAGGUGAACUCUCAGUUCAGCCAGUUGACGUUCUACAUCAAGUAGGGUUCUUUCGUACACCCUCUAGCGUACUCAGAGCUCUAUNUUAGCAGUGCUUGCAACAGGGUUUCAUGGUUUCUCUCUGAUCACUCGUGAUCAUCUUCUAGACAAAUGUUGCGGAGGGUAUGCAUUCUAGCAUCGGUGACAACUUCGGUAAUCUGAUGUAGGGCUGUCCUGCCUUGAAUCUCAUUUCGGGCCACUCCGUAGUCCAAGAUUGGCAAGAUUCUGUCUGCGGAGCCCCCAUUGCUCAGGUAAUAAAAGCUUCGGUCACCAUCAUAAGGCAUGGGCUGAUCUUGUCCUUGGCUCCAUGUUUCCAAACAUUCCACCCAUGGAGGUGUCGGGCCAUGAAAAGCCGGACGAGGGUUAGGAAUUGGAAAGGGAGCUGCUUGAGGUAGGUUCUCAAUCUCUGGUUCGGAGUUAGCAUCGUCCGAAAGGUCUUCAUCAUGGUGAUCAUUCAAAGGGAUAGGAUGAUCAUUAUCUGGUUCUUCUCCAAACCAACCAGCAAUGACUUCGUUCGGAAGAUACUGGUUGCCGUGGGGAUGGAGUCCAGCCAUGUUAUCUAAGCGAGAAUUGGGGUAAGAAAAUAGUUAUUAGACGAACUAUCUAGAUAAUUAGUUAGAAAAUCUUCAUCAGUUACAUAGCUAUUUGUGAAGUGCAUACCAGUUAUAUGUAAUCGAAACAGGAUAGGCCUUCGAAUAUGUGACCUUAACUCCAAAUUCACACAGAAUCGGGGUAAAGUAAAAUUUCACAGAUUCUAAGUCUAUAACAUCCUAAUUACAUAUAUCCUCAGUGUAUCCACUUAGCAACUAUCAACUUAGUAAUGAAGAUCCCGUUUUAGUUCUCAAGUAUAACGUACUUAUAGUAACACCAAAUACUCCUAUAGUAUUUUAAGUUUAAUGUUAUGUUCUACUGUUCUCAUUGUGGUAGGGUUGGUAAGAUUUUAGACUUGUUGCAACCACACAACUACACUUAGGCACAUGCUAGUCAACCCUCGGAUAAUAUAGUUGAUCAGGCUAUAUCUUCCCAGUUUUGACCAUAUGUCUCUAAGCCCACUUGUGUUGCCCAACAAUCGUAAUUCUUUUGUACUGUCCUAGUAACACUGAUUUUAGUAUGAAUGCAGGCACGUAUACUUUAUUAAAUAUUUUAUUAUUUAAAGUAUAAACUCUUGGUCAGAGUAUUUUUAAUCCCUUAUGUAUUUAUAGUUAGUAUAUCUUUUAUGGGUUGAUAUACUUAAUUCACUAUAAACAAUGCUCUGAUACCAAUCUGUCACACCCCAAAACCAAGAACGGCGGAAACGUUCUGGGGCGGAGGACGUCAUGUAUAGUAUCACAACAAUGAAAAGUAGUAAACAAGCAACAACAUCAUCCAUUGCAUUAAUAAUAUAAUUAUUAUACAAGUGUGUUCUGUCAAAUUUUGAUAAACACUAAAGCAUAAAUCAAAAUGAAAGAUGAGUCUUGAACAAGCUCCAUCUUCCUUUCUCCUUGCAUCGGUACCUGUCUAUGAUGACCUGAGGAUACAAGUAAUUUUGAAAGCGAGUAUCAGCUUUGAAGCUGGUGAGAUCAUAAGUAUUUUAGUGUCUUAAUUUGUAUGUAAGAAAUUGUUUGUAAAUGCACUGUAAGUAUGGAAAAAUGUAGAUGAACUGUAAGUAUAAAAAUGUUUGUAAAACAACUGUAAACAUUUAAAAACCCUAGAAAUCCCUAUGAUUCCUACUUUUAUAUACAGGUGUCUUCUACCAAGACUUAACUGUUCUCAAUGUAGUAUUCUACCAAGACUUAACUGUUCUAAAUGUUCGUUUCUUGUAAAAGUGUGUAAUUUUCCCAAGUGUAACUAUCAUUAUCAAAAUAUAGUUUUUACAUUAAAUGUUUAAGUGAAAUGAUCACUAAAUAUAUGAAAAGGGGAAAUUAAUUUAGUACUGUAGUGUUGUAUUAUAGGAACUACUGCUGUACUAACUACCUUAAACUGGAUUUAUAUUAAGGUAUCAUGUGAUAAAUUGCACCAUACUAUUGACUGGUAACAACGACAUACGAAUGGUCGUAAAAACGGAAUGACGUUUGGCACCCGCAGACCUGCAGGUCCGGCUAUAGCUAGCAGCAAGGUGUAGGAUAGUCAAUCCAGUAUAGAUCUAUACGCAAACUCAUGCUCUCCCUCCAAGAGAAUUUUGGCUAUAACUCGGGCCAUGACAUUUAAGGCAUGCUCCGAUACAGUGGAUCACAAUUGUUAACGUAUUCACAAUUGUCCUUGGUACGGGAGUAUGGAUAGUACAUAGUUAUUCGUCAUUAAUCCGGGAGUAUGGAUUUAGACAUUGACAUUUGUCCCUAAUCCGAGAGUACGGAAUGGGCACAAAUAUUGAUCCGAGAUUAUGGAUUAGAUCCAGGAGUAAGAGGUAAAAUUUAAGGUUCGAGAGUAUGGAUAGUCUCGUUGUGAGGAUUGACGGGGUGGGGUAAGAGUCGAUUAUAUAUAUAUAUAUGCGGUAAUUGUAUAUUUUGUGAGAUCUAAAUUAUAUAUAUGAUAUAACAUUGUGGGAUUGAAUCCCUAUGUACUCACCAGGUUUCCCAACCUGACCCACUCAAGUUUAUUUGUAUCAUAUGUGUCGAUAUGAAGUUACAUUACACUUAAGGAGAUAGGAAUCACUAGUGAUAAGGAAUGUAAGUUCUGUUUAUGCUUAUGUUUAUGUAUUCACGAUGACAUCCCAAAUGUUUUAAAAUGAAUAAAAAUACAUUUCUUCAGAAAUGCUUUGAUAACGUAUUUAUCAUGUUUUCUGGGAACAAAUUCCACAACAUUUUUAUUAAAAGAGGUACUCUGAUUUUUAUAAAUCAUAAACAACACCAUUUUUUCUGGCCAUAAAAAUCGGAUGUCAUAGUUGGUGUCAGAGCAUUAGUUUAAGCGAAAUAUGAAUAAGGAUUUAUUUCUAGACUUAAACUUAGAAUGCUAAGCGAUAAUCGUGAGGAGUGUGUCUAAUAAAUUUUGGUAAUACACCUGAAUACACACAAGCACUAGCUUAUUUAGGGAAAAUGCAUAACACACUUUUAUGUGCUAAAUGAUUUAUGAUAUGCAUUAUAUGAUCGGAUCCAUGGUCUGUUGCCGACCGGAUUUGGAAACUUUAUGUGCUCAGAUUUCUAAACGUUUGAUUACAGUAUUAAAACUGGCAUGUAACCUUUCGGAGUGAUAAGGAAAUUUACACGUCGAUCGUAAAUAAAAUUUGCUUAUCUAAAUACUCGUCACUACACACGGAAUGUUUAAAUUGGUGUAUAGAUCGACAUGGUAAGGACUCAAAGCGGAAUCGGAAAUGUUAAUGGAGAUUAUAAUCAGUGGCUUGUAAUAGAAUGUGCACCAUAGGUAGCAACUGGACCUAAGCCAAUCAUAAUGUCCGGGGUACAAGCGAUGAUCCAGAUGAGGUUGGAUCGUCAAAUAGAGGAAACAAGGUGACUACUACUACAAGAUAGGGAUGAACCUACGAUGCCUAUUGAGCCGCCCGAUGUAACAACAGCAAAAUUCAAGUCAAAAUUUAAACUUUUAUAAAACUGUAAUUGAGUAUACUAAGUAGUAGAUAUCGUAACAAGGUUUUCAUACAUAUAAAGAACACAAAAAUCCGAGUUAUAACGAAGAAGUUAUAACCAUUCUAAGAUUUCCGACAAAACCGGAAACACCGAUUAAACGAAAAACGCGAAGUUUCAAUACAAUAGCCUUUAGCCUUAAGUAUCUAAAUGAAAGUCGUAGGUAACAUUAAACCAUAAACGUACGUAAAAAGAACGUCAAAAUCUGACUUCGUAUGAGGAAGUUAUGAUUUUUCGAAGUUUUUGACCUAGCAGUAGACAGCUAAAAACUCGAAAUAGAGAUCAAGCGGUCUUUAGCCGAAACAAACUAAAUGAGAAUCGAAGGUCUCAACAAUAGUAGCGCAAUGGUAAAAAGUCUGACGAAAACGGACGUCGAAUGAAGAAGUUAUGGAUUUAUGACGGAGUUUUCGUGUCCCGGCCUACUAAAAAUAAUAUAUAAGUAAUAUAUUUAUAAUAUAUUAAAAAAACUCAAAAUUAGCCAACGGAGUCUAAACAAGAGUUGUAGAGCAUAAUCUCACCUUCGCGGCGAUAUAAAGAACGUCAAAAACGGAGUUCAUAUGCGAAAGUUAUGAAUUUCUGAAGUUUGAGCGCGAAUCCCGACUCUGUCAGAACUCACGACGUGAGUUUUGGAAAACUCACGACGUGAACAGUCUGAUUGACCCUUCCAGAGCCACUUGACGUGUGACGCAUGCCAUGACGAAUUCGGGACAAACUCACGACGUGAAUUGGCAAAAUUCACGACGUGAACUUCAAUUUUUGGCCUAUAUAUAAAAAUCAAAGCCUUUAGAGUUUGGCUGCUCAUUCCUAACCUCUCUCCUACUUAUACUCUCUGUAAAGCCCCACUAAACCACCCUGAAGCCUCGGUAACACUCCUGGAACACGACGCAAAGCUCUAUACUCCCGAGAUCCCCGAGAAUCCUGAAAUUUCAAGUCUCUCUUGUCGAAGUUCUGCUCGAUUCUUCUCUCGUCUACUUCAAAUCAACCACUUCAAUCAAGUGAGUUCAUACCCCUACAACCACACUUUAAAUGCUUUUUAAAUGAUUUUGAAACACUUUUAAGGGGGGGAAUACAAGGAAACACACGACUAAAAUCAUGUGAAACAUCGACCUUUUGCUAUACUUUUCAUACUGUUGUUUUAACUAUCUUAUAAAGUUAUUAUCAUGCAAAACACCUCACAACACAACUUUACCCUCUGGGGAUACAAUACGUUUUAUAAAUAGAAAUAGGUUUUAAUUAUACGUUUGCAUACUACAUCAUAUCAAGAGUAACCAUUUCAAAUAUAACAUGAUGCUUUUACAAGAAAACUCAACUCAUCAUCACGUUUUUGUAACACGGUAGAAAACGAAAUCAUUUUAUACGAACGAUUUUCAUCAUAUUACUCGUGAACUUGUUGUUAGCAAUCAUGUGAUGGCAUAUGGCUUUGUUUGUACCAAACGAAAGUCCUCACCUAUAACCAGAGUCUCCUGGAGGGAGAGCGUGACAAGUGUGUAUAGAUCUAUACGGGGCUGACAACUCCGCACCCUGACUGUUAGCUACAGUCCGUCAUUUGGGGUGACAAACGUCAACAUUAGGUACUGCGUCUAGUAUGGUUAUGAGGAACUCACAACACGCGGAAACAAUGACUCAUGCACGUAGUAAUACUUAACUCAAUCAUGCUCGAGGGGUAAUAACUAUAUUCUAGGGUAUUAUCGGCAUGAUCAAAACUCAGGUUAAAACACUUCCACAACUAGUUUUACUUAACAAUAAGACUGCACUUCACUUUUAGGAAAAUAAGGGAUUUUCCUGGUUCAAAUACAUUCAUUUUGUACAAUAACGAUUUACAACAUCAUUCUUUUGAGCAUGUCAUAGUUUCUUAUAGCUUACAGUCUUGGUCAUUUGAGACUGCAUUUCACUUUUAGGAAAAUAAGGGAUUUUCCUGGUUCAAAUACAUAUAGUACAUACAACAAUCUUUCAAACUCAUUUCAUACAUCUAAUAGGAAAUAAGGGAUUUUCUGAAAAACAUACAAGCACUUUCGAAUGGCAUACAUUUUCUCAAAACACCACUUAUGAACUCACCAACUUAAAUGUUGACACUUUUUCUUUGAAAUAACUUGUAUUCUCAGGAAACCGCUAGACCAGGUAGCAACUACUUUUGAAGACUAACGUGCUGGCGUUAUUAAUAUAUUUUGGAUCACCAUAUUGUAUUUGAUUUCUUUUGCAAACAUGUAACAUAUACAAUCAUGUAAACUUUUCAAAUAUAUUUAUAUUAUGGUGGUGUGUACUUUCUUUACUAUUCAAUUGUUAUGAUAUUUGACAUGACGUCCUCCGCCCCCGAACGUUUCCGCCGUUCUGGUUUGGGGGUGUGACAGAUUGGUAUCAGAGCAUUGUUUAUAGUGAAUUAAGUAUAUCAAAACCAUUUUUGGUAUACAACUAUAAACACAACUGGGCAAAAACACUCUGAGUAAGAGUCAUACUUUUAAAAAUUAAAUUUAUUUAGUUUUUGUAAAGUAGGCAUGCAUUCAUUUCAUAUUAAUAACAGGGUCAGUAUCAUAAUUAAAACAAUAUAGAAGUAUUAUAAAUAAGUUGUGCAGUGCAGGUAUGCCUUGGGACAUGUAAUCGGAACUGGGAAGAAUAUAGCCUGAUCAACUAUAUUUGUCCAAGAGCCGACUAACGUAUGCCAAGGAGUGUCUGCAAUGGACAACAAAUUUAAAACUUACCAAACUUAUAAACUUUAGAAUCAAACAUAACAUUUAGAAUACUAUAGGAGUAUUUUAUGCAUACGAUAGUUUAACUUUGAUGUCAACCUUAUGUGCCUUAGUUCUAGACAAUCCUUAUCUCCCUAUUCUCGUACAAACACAAUGGCCGGAUUUCCACCUAGCAGGAGACCCCUGCUACCCAAACCAUACAAUCCUUAAAAGACUUAUUGUCUUCAUUGUUAUUUCUUUUGCAGCAAUGCCGCCUCGUAGAUCUACACGUCGCAUCAACAACGUAACACAUACGCCGCCGCCACCACCCCUACAAUAUGAUCCUGUCAUGGUUCAGGCUGCUAUCACUACAGCAGUAGCAGCUGCUCUUACGCAGAUAAACACUAACGGAGCUGGUGGAACUGGAAGCAGUACCAACCACUUAAAUCAUGGCACUGGCCAUGGUUAUAUCAGAGAAUGCACAUACAAGGAAUUUUCGAAUGCAAAGCCAAAAACUUUCAACGGGGUAGGAGGAGUCAUUGCACUUAUGCAAUGGUUCGAGAAGACCGAAACGGUCUUCGAGAUAUGUGCAUGCCUAGAGACCAGCAAAGUCAAGUUCGCCGCUUGCACUUUCUCUGAUCGAUCCCUCACCUGGUGGAAGGGACAUGUGGAUGCCCUAUCUCUCCCAGUUCCUAAUGCCAUGAGCUGGGAAGAUCUUAAAAUCUUGAUGCUAGAAGAAUACUGCCCGAGGGGAGAAAUCCAAAAAUUAGAGCAUGAGAUAUGGAACCUAAGGAUGACCGGAUCGGACGUAAUCACUUACACGGCUAGGUUCAAUGAUUUUUCAGCUUUGUGCCCAAGUAUGGUAAAUGUCACACCCCCAAACCUGAACGGCGGAAACGUUCGGGGGCGGAUGACUUCAUGUGGUAGCGUAGCAAAUGAAUACAUAGUAAAGAAAGCAAUGCAACCAUCAUAUAUAUAAUUGAAAGUUUACAUUUAUCAAAAGUUACAUGUUCAAAACCCAAUUACAAUAUGAUGUCAAAAUACGAGAUUAAACUGGCGCCGCAGCAUCCCUUCAACAAAAGCGAAAUGAAUACCUGAAAUUACUGAUUUCCUGGGACAUACAAGUAAUUUUGAAAGAGUAGAUCAGCAUUUAAGCUGGUGAAUUUCAUAAGUAUUUAAGUGACAAUGUUUGAAUGAAAUGAAAUGUUUUAUCUUUGUUUGUUUGUGUUUAGAAAAUCCUAUAUUUUCUACUAGUAUAAAAGUAGCCUUCACUCAAGACCAAUGUUUGUUUCCAAAAUGUAUGUAAAUGUAAAAUAACCAAUGAGUUUGAAAACCUUGUAAAUCAAUGCAUUUUUAAUACCCCUUGUGAGUUUUAUAACCAUACUAUUGACUCUGAAUGCCUAUACACAACGUUCUUCAGGCGNGAUUGAUCACGGUGUUAAACAGGGUACUAUUACCGCUGUCUCGGAGCCACCGAAGGAUAUAGAGGACCGAAGGAAACCCUGGGAUAAGAGGAAGAGGGAAACCAUGCAAGAGAACCCCAAGAGGCAACAGUUAGUGACAGCUUAUUCUGUUACUAUCCCUACCACCCCUACACCCACAAGGUCAUACAACGGCAACCAGCCUAAGUGCAACCGAUGCAACGUUCAUCAUCACGGACCCUGUCAUGAAAUGCAUUGCAUUGGGUGCAAUAGUAAGGGACUCACCGUCCGCUACUGUAGGGAAAUAGCCCAACCAACCGCUCCAGCCGCAAAUGUGGGAGUAGACCGUACUUGUUAUGAGUGCGGAGCAACGGGACACUUCCGACGGAACUGCCCGAAGGCAAACAACAAGAAUGCUAGUGGAGGAGGCCGGGUAUUCGCAAUGGCCCAAGAGGAGGCUAUUGCAGACCCCACGGUUAUUCUCGGUACAUUUCUCCUUGAUAACUUAUUUUCAUACAUUCCAUUUUGAUAGUAGGAACGCAGAAGAGUUCCGUGAGUCGCAAGUUUAAAAAUCUACUCGAAUAAACACCCCAAUCAUUAAUCAAAACUUUCAUAGUAGUAAUAAUAGAGAUAGACUAAAAAGAACUAAGAACACAUACGUAGAAUGCGCUAUCCCAUAAACGAACGUCUUACAAUGAGAAGUACCGAUGUCGUCAUUUGACGUGGAUUGGUGUGGCCCUACCCAUACCAGUUCCAUGUGUUAUAAAAGACCCUUUCACUUUAACCAUCGAUUAUCACGACAAACCCGACACUAACCCCAAUUGGUUUCUAGUUUCAAAACCCCGAGGUACUCACGUGAGGAGUACUAUAUCCUUCGUGACCUUCCCGAAGUAUUACCAACCGACUAUUUAGGAAUAGCACACGUACGACGAGUCAAGCUAAAACUCGGAGACUAGGAAUGAUUACGGUUAUCCUAUCACUUCAAAGUGUGUAUGCGAUUGGUAUACACAAAGCGAUGAUAGACGAACCAGGUAUGAAAUACCGACCUAUAUUGCUAGUAAACAAUGCUAACAUUUAGAUGAACAUAGGAACCCAAAACCACACGACCUAUACCGGUCAAAACAACAGACAGGAUAAUGAAGGUCCGCUGAAACACCCACGCUAGGAACUAGAUUCACUAGAGAACAAGAAGAACAAAUGGAUCAGAUGCACAUACACCUUUCUUCAAAUUUAGAGUCCCAGAAGAAAUGCGAAUUUCGGGACGAAAUUCCCUUUAACAGGGGGAUAAUGUAACAACAGCAAAAUUCAAGUCAAAAUUUAAACUUUUAUAAAACCGUAAUUGAGUAUACUAAGUAGUAGAUAUCGUAACAAGGUUUUCAUACAUAUAAAGAACACAAAAAUCCGAGUUAUAACGAAGAAGUUAUAACCAUUCUAAGAUUUCCGACAAAACCGGCAACACCGAUUAAACGAAAAACGCGAAGUUUCAAUACAAUAGCUUUUAGCCUUAAGUAUCUAAAUGAAAGUCGUAGGUAACAUUAAACCGUAAACGUACGUAAACAGAACGUCAAAAUCUGACUUCGUAUGAGGAAGUUAUGAUUUUUCGAAGUUUUUGACCUAGCAGUAGACAGCUAAAAACUCGAAAUAGAGAUCAAGCGGUCUUUAGCCGAAACAAACUAAAUGAGAAUCGAAGGUCUCAACAAUAGUAGCGCAAUGGUAAAAAGUCUGACGAAAACGGACGUCGAAUGAAGAAGUUAUGGAUUUAUGACGGAGUUUUCGUGUCCCGGCCUACUAAAAAUAAUAUAUAAGUAAUAUAUUUAUAAUAUAUUAAAAAAAACUCAAAAUUAGCCAACGGAGUCUAAACAAGAGUUGUAGAGCAUAAUCUCACCUUCGCGGCGAUAUAAAGAACGUCAAAAACGGAGUUCAUAUGCGAAAGUUAUGAAUUUCUGAAGUUUGAGCGCGAAUCCCGACUCUGUCAGAACUCACGACGUGAGUUUUGGAGAACUCACGACGUGAACAGUCUGAUUGACCCUUCCAGAGCCACUUGACGUGUGACGCAUGCCAUGACGAAUUCGGGACAAACUCACGACGUGAAUUGGCAAAAUUCACGACGUGAACUUCAAUUUUUGGCCUAUAUAUAAAAAUCAAAGCCUUUAGAGUUUGGCUGCUCAUUCCUAACCUCUCUCCUACUUAUACUCUCUGUAAAGCCCCACUAAACCACCCUGAAGCCUCGGUAACACUCCUGGAACACGACGCAAAGCUCUAUACUCCCGAGAUCCCCGAGAAUCCCANAAUCGUGUGAAACAUCGAUCUUUUUAUAUACUUUUCAUACUGUUGUUUUAAACUAUCUUAUGAAGUUAUUAUCAUGCAAAACACCUCACAACACAACUUUACCCUCUUGGGAUACAAUAUGUUUUAUAAAUAGAAAUAGGUUUUAUUUAUACGUUUGCAUACUACAUCAUAUCAAGAGUAACCAUUUCAAAUAUAACAUGAUGCUUUUACAAGAAAACUCAACUCAUCAUCACGUUUUUGUAACACGGUAGAAAACGAAAUCAUUUUAUACGAACGAUUUUCAUCAUAUUACUCGUGAACUUGUUGUUAGCAAUCAUGUGAUGGCAUAUGGCUUUGUUUGUACCAAACGAAAGUCCUCACCUAUAACCAGAGUCUCCUGGAGGGAGAGCGUGACAAGUGUGUAUAGAUCUAUACGGGGCUGACAACUCCGCACCCUGACUGUUAGCUACAGUCCGUCAUUUGGGGUGACAAACGUCAACAUUAGGUACUGCGUCUAGUAUGGUUAUGAGGAACUCACAACACGCGGAAACAAUGACUCAUGCACGUAGUAAUACUUAACUCAAUCAUGCUCGAGGUGUAAUAACUAUAUUCUAGGGUAUUAUCGGCAUGAUCAAAACUCAAGUUAAAACACUUCCACAACAAGUUUUACUUAACAAUAAGAUUGCACUUCACUUUUAGGAAAAUAAGGGAUUUUCCUGGUUCAAAUACAUAUAGUACAUACAACAAUCUUUCAAACUCAUUUCAUACAUCUAAUAGAAAAUAAGGGAUUUUCUGGAAAACAUACACACAGUUUCGAAUGGCAUACAUUUUCUCAAAACACCACUUAUGAACUCACCAACUUAAAUGUUGACACUUCCUCUUUGAAAUAACUUGUAUUCUCAGGGACCCGCUAGACCAGGUAGCAACUACUUUUGAAGACUAACGCGCUGGCGUUAGUAACAUAUUUUGGAUCACCAUAUUGUAUUUGAUUUCUUUUGCAAACAUGUAACACAUACAAUCAUGUAAACUUUUCAAAUAUAUUUAUAUUAUGGUGGUGUGUACUUUCUUUACUAUUCAAUUGUUAUGAUAUUUGACAUGACGUCCUCCGCCCCCGAACGUUUCCGCCGUUCUGCUUUGGGGGUGUGACACCCGAAUUGAAUGAUAGGAAGCCUAAGGAGGGAAACUAUAGCAGAACCAUUGGUCAAGCUGAUCCGUCGGUGAUUAGGAGGAGCAACCAAGAUGACCGAGUCGAGAGGAAUGGAUGCAAGUAUAAAGAUUUUCUAACUUGCAUGCCAUCGACUUUCACUGGGAAGGAAGAUCUUAUCAGAGUUAUGGAUUGGAUCUUGAAGAUGGAAUUAGCCUUCAUGACAUGUGGUUGCAAAGGCAAGCUACAAACAACGUUUGCAGUGCUCCAGUUCAGAGGAGGCGUUGUUCACUAGUGGAACACCCUGGGGAAGACUCUAAGCCUCAAUGAGCCCUUGUAACUGACUUGGACAGAGUUUUUGGUGCAUUUCAAGCGCAAGCAUUGCUCAGCCCAAAAUCUGCUCGAGCUUGAAAACCAAUUCCUGAAUUUGAAGAAAGGAAGCAUGUCCAUCGAUGAAUACACCAACAACUUUACGGACAAAAUGGAGUUUGCUUUGCGCCUUAUCCCAGACGAGCUGACAAAAAUCGACAAAUAUGCAAACGGACUUCCCUGGGAGUAUGCGGUACCAGUACGACAGACACCUACUCUAGAGGAGUCUAUUUGGGCUACCAAGUCUGUUGAAGACAUGAUCAAGGGAAGAUCCACCAGCAAGGUUGAAGUUGGUGAGAAGAGAAAGUUUGAAGGAUCCACAAGGUCCGACGAGAAGAGAAAGUUCUCAAAGUCUGGUUCGAAGAAGGAGCACAAUGGUGUGACAAGUGCAAAAGGAAGCACAUUAGGAGAUGCUCUAAAGAGAUGACCUGCUUCAAAUGCGGGAAGACUGGUCGUUACGCUAGCAAAUGCACAACCAAGAGAGAAGUUGGCUUUAAGUGUGGUGAAGAAGGACACUUCAAGCAAAACUGCCCAGAGAGAGAAGAAGCCACAAAGCCAAAUAUGCCACCAAAACCAAAGGGAAGAGCAAUUCAAAUGAUCCUUGACGAUGCAGAUAACAAUGCAAGGAAUCAGGAAUAAGAAUUUUUAUAUCCAAAUAUCAAUUAGCCAUGUAGGUAGUACCACGUGGUGAAGCCUGUUAGAGGCAUUUCAAUAAAUAAUAUAAACCUUCGUUUUGUUGAAUGAUUGUGUGAUUUUCUUGUAUGGUGACUUGGAUAAACUGAGGGAAAAUACAUGGGACGAGUAUGAGCAGGUGUGGCUGGUAGUAGAGGCCUAUACUACCGGAAGCACAGGACUCAUGUUUGGAUCAGGGAAAGUCACAAGGUUACCAAGAAGCCAGUAAUUGAUUUUGUUUUGUUCAUGUAUGUCGUUACCAUUGUUUCGGUGAUGACUAAGAAUAUUAUUGUUAUUUUGACCCUAGUGGUCAUAUCAAAUCAAGUCCGACUAAGAUGAGUAUGUUACGAGGUUCAGAGAACCAAGAUCGAUGUAGCAUUUGAUUUAAGCCAGAAGAUUGGAAUGAAAGAUAAUCGAAGCGAUCAGUAGAAGUAUCGCGGUCGCUGUUAACGUAAGAAACUUGUAGCUAGAAGUGUUACAUACUAAAAGGUGAUUAUAUCACAUUAGGACAUUAAGGAAGCUAUAUUUCGUUCUGUAAUUUGACUCUAAAAGACCUGAGUCUAAGCGUUGCAUCAUACGAUGAGAGGUCAUUAGAACGUGACCCAUCGGUCUAUUAUGAUAAUCGAAAUAAGAAACAUAUCUUAAGUUGUUAAGAAGAAGAAGGAGUCUCCAAUAAGGGUCGAGAUUGUGACAGGAAGGUCAUGAUUGAAUGCCUAAUGUGAGACAGAGUGUGUGUGCAAGAUCAAGCACCGCCUGCAGUCAAGAAGUCCAAGAGUCAGAUACUCAUUCGAAGAAACAUAGAGGUUACGAUUAUUACCUAGGAUGAAGAGAUAACAAUAUGGAAUCAUUGUACAAGCCCUGUUUUGUUGAUGAUUCCGGGACGUAAUCAUCCUAAGGGGGAGAUAAAUGUAACGCCCGUAGAUUCAUGCUAGUCAAUUUAGAGACAAUAAGCAACAAAAAUGACUUUUUGAUGGAAGAUUAUUUAGAAUAAAUAAUCUUAACUAAGUUGUAGCAAACGUCACAAGGAUUCAGUACAUAUAAAGAACGCCGAAAUCUGAAUUAUAACGAAGAAGUUAUGGCCUAUGGCCGGUCGAAGUUUCGCGACAAAACCGGCAGGACGCUACAUGACGUAAAUAAUGAAUUUACGAUAGAGUGACUUUUAGCCUUAGAAAUAUAAACGAAAGUCAUAGUGUUUGUUAAACCGAUAGUGUGCAUGAAAAGAAUACCCAAAUCUGACUUCGUAUAAGGAAGUUAUGAUUUUUCUAAGUUUCGGCUUAGUAGUACACAGCCCAGAGUUCGAAUGUUAAAUCGACUCAUUUUUGGCCGACAUAAACUAAAAGAAAAUCGAAGAUCUCGUUAAUAGUUGCACAACGGUAAAAAGAUAGACGAAAAUGGAUGUCGGAUGAAGAAGUUAUGAAUUUUUAACGGGCUUUUCCUAUCCCGGCCUGUUAGAAAUAUAACUUUAAAAAUAAAGUCAAAAUUAGCCGACGAAGUCCAAACGAAAGUCGUAGAGUACAGUCUCGCCUAUGCGUGGAUAUAAAGAACAUCGAAAACAGAUCUCGUAUGCGAAGAUUACGGCUUUUAGAAGAUAAUUAGUUUUUUGGGUAAUCUGCGAGUGACACGUGGCACAAUCUGGGCCACAACUUCUUCCCCGCGGCUUUGCAUGAGAUCGCGACACGUGGCACAUUACACCCAACGUAAUUUGAGUACGCUUAGCGUAACCCUUAAAAACCCAUUACGCUCAGCGUACUCGGCGCUGGCAGCCUAUAAAUAGAGGCGCAAAUCUCUCAUUUUAUUCACAGCUUUCUCAUAUUUCUCUCUCUAAUUAUCCCAAACCUUCAAGGUUUUUCCCUAGCACUUCCCUAGUGUUAGAAGGAACCCCCUGGAGCGCCCGAAGGCUCCGCGAAAAAGAGCUUUUCAGCUCAAAAGCUCCUCCCGCACAGAGCCCGAUUUUUAAGAAAACUUGUUGUAAGUAAGUUAUACUUACCCAACUUUAAGUAUAACUUAUGUUUAAGUUCGUUAUCGUUAUUAUGAACCUAUAAACAAGAUUUAUCAAUGAUUCCAAGUCAUUAUAUUAAUUGAUCUACUUACGGGGAUGAUGUCUAGGCUUUGAUUUAGUGAGGUGUUUAAAGUGUGAUUUCCAAAUAGCAUACUUCAUAUACCAAACGGACCCUACCUCCGAUAUGAUCCUACCUGGUUGUUCCUUACUUGAUCAAUCAUGAAAGUAGAAUUUGAGUUAAUGAUGAAUCUAGACUAAUAAUUAUUCGCAAUAAAGAUUAGACUAAAACUUAGUGAUAAUAAUGAUAGGUUUCAUCGAAGGAAAAUAGAAUCGUUAGAAGUGAAACGCUAUCCGAAUUUGGAAUCAUCACUUUUUACAAGUGAGUGCAUAGUCCUUUUCAUGAACAUGAUUUUAAUACAAGUAUUGAUAGAAAUAUUAAAUAUAUAUUUGUGUGUGAAAUAUAUGAUGUUCCCUGAAAUACGUGUUAAAGAGCAUACCUGAUAAUAUAUGAUGAUUUAGGAUAAAGAGUAUACCUAAGUUAAUUAUGAGGAAUAUCGGGUAGUAUUUCCUUAUGAGUACGAGUGAGAUAUACACAGAGAAUUGAACCGUUAAACGUGUCAUUAAUAUGGAAGAAUGGAUUAGACAUAGUUAUUCGUCCCUAUUCCGAGAGUACGGAUUGGACUUAGUCAAUUGUCAAUAAUCCGGGAGUAUGGAUUAAGACAUAGUCAAUUGUCCUUAGUCCAGGAGUAUGGACAGGACAUAGUUAUUCAUCAUUAAUACAGGAGUAUGGAUUUAGACAUAGACAUUUGUCCCUAAUCCAAGAGUAUGGAAUGGGCACAAAUAUUGAUCCGAGAGUAUGGAUUAGAUCCGAGAGUAAGAGGUAAUAUUUAAGGUCAAAGAGUAUGGAUAGUCUCGUUGUGAGGAUUGAUGGGGUGGGGUAAGAGUCGAUUAUAUAUAUGGGAAAUUGUAUAUUUUGUGAGAUCUAAAUUAUAUAUAUGAGAUAACAUUGUGGGAUUGAAAUCCCUAUGUACUCACCAGGUUUCCCAACUUGACCCAAUCAAUUUUAUUUGUAUCACAGGUGUCGAUAUGAAGUUACAUUACAUUAAGAGAUUAAGGAGAUAUAAAUCACUAGUGAUAAUGAAUGUAAGUUCUAUUUAUGUUAAUGUUUCUGCAUUGACGAUGACAUUUCAAAUGUUUUAUAAUGAAUAAAAAUACAUUUCUUCGGAAAUGCUUUGAUAACGCAUUUAUCAUGUUUUCUGGGAAUAAAUUCUGCAACAUUUUAGCUAAAAUAGGUACUCUGAUUUUUAUAAAGGAUAAACAAAACCGGUCUUUUAUUAUCGUAAAAAUGGGGAUGUCACAGUCAGAUCUUUAUGUUAUAACAUAUGUUGUAUAUCGAUUAUGAAAUCCUUAGAUUUUUUUUU
rnacentral:lncRNA from 1 species